CGCGCCAAUUCCUAUGGGUUGUGUAUUUUCCUUAUGUUCUUGUCUUAUCUUGAUUUUCAAAUUUAAUAAGAUUUCUUAGCUGUUUCCAAUUAAGUAUAACCAAGAUAACCUAUUUACCCAAGGAUUAGUCAGACUCAGAUAUGUGGCUGCCCACUAAAAAUAUUAGAGAAUUUUUAGAUCUCAGAUGAAUGAUUUAGAGUAUAAAUUAAAGAUAAUGAAGACAAGGAAGAGAAUCCAAAUUAUUUUUUCAAAUAAAGAAGCCCAAAAACGAAGCUGCAAUUAAAUAAUCAACAAGACAGAAAGAGCUCAUAAUAUAUGGCCACUUCCCCAUCCGAUCCGAACAAUACAAUUGAAAAAAUGGAGAAGAGAAUGGGGGUUGUUCAAGCACCUAAAGACUUCAUAUGGGCAUGUCUUUAUUUCUUCAGUUGAUGAGCUAGCUGCUGAAGUGACCUCCCUACAUAUUCAUCUUCCGGUGCACACCAAGUGUUUGCUAUAUUGCUCGACUGAGAGGACGACGAGAAGAAGACCUGCUUCUGCUUCUGCUUCUCCUAAUGAGCUCGCGGAUCUGAGACACCAUCACUUCCACCAUAUCUCCUGUAUAAUUCAUCAGCAAUGGCCGCAAGAACAUAGCCCAAAGCCCCACCAAUGCCACCAUUACUUCUGCUCCCAAACCCAACAUUGAUAAAUUAAUACAAUAUUUUUCCCUUCUCCUGCAUAUAACUUGGCUUUCAAUAUAUGGUGUGUUGCUGUUGCUCUCUCUCUCUCUCUCUCUCUCUCUCUCUCUUGAAGCUUGGAAGUUGGCGGGCAGUUAUAAUGUUAUCCAGUAUGUGGAAUUUCUAAUAAAUGUAAUGUUUGGUUCCAAAGGUACAAGCCAGCCGACCAAAUUGAGGACUAGGUACCAAGACUAAACUUCAUCCACCAUUCUUUAAAAACAAACAGUCUUCACAGGCCGGGUAGGUAGCUGAGGUCUACAUUGGGAAACUAUUAACCACCAACUCUAUAUCUACCAUUCUUUAACCCUCUGUUUUUUUUUUUGGGGUCAAAAGUGAGAUGACGAAAAUAUUCAAUUUGAAAUCAUGUAAUUUGGGCGAAGUUACGAUUUGGUUCUUAUAGUUUUAAGAGAUAUCACACAUGAAAUAGACUUUAGAAAUAUACCCAAAGUCUAUUUAUAACAUAACAAAGAGGCUUUUAACUUCUUAUAAAUUACAAAACUGCCAUCAAUUUCUAAAAACAAACUCAACCCCAAAAUCUCAUAAAAAUACCUAAAACACUCAAUAGGCAUCAAAGUAAUUUAAUAAUCAAUAUUAAAUUCAAUAAGGCUAGCUGUCAUUUUUUGGGUUUUUUUUUUGAAUUUGUUUAUAGAAAUUCAAUGGUGUAGAAUUUAUUUAUAAUAUUAGUGCUAAGAAUAAGUAUAUCACUAAAUAUCUCUAGUUUGUUUAGACUGAAAAAAGACAAAGUCACGAGAGCUAUAGCCCAGGUUAGCCAAAAGAUAGGUCCGUCCUGGUCACGACAAACUGAAGGUUUAAGGAGAAAAUAAGAACUUCGUCUCAACUACAACGAUACGAAUUCAAAAUCUGCGAUUUUGAUUAGACAACACUAUAUGAUCCAACAAAUUUAGUUGAUCUAGUGCAGAUGCGAACUACUCUUUCUACUUGUAUAAUUUGACCAUGUCAUGUAACGUGCCAAAAAAGAAACUGUUCACCCAUGCUAAAUGCUUUUCUUUGGGUAAAUAGCAAACUAAAGAAAGACCACGCCAUCUUUUUCAUUUUAUGCAUGUUGUGCAUGUGAGCAAAGACCUCACACAUGCUAUACAUGAAUAGGAGAUUUUUUAUUUUAUAUAUGUUUUGUUAAAAUAAAUUAUUAUUAAUUAUUUACUUACUAACCAGUUAGCGCUCGAUGUUAUAUAUAUGAAGUCGGGCAAUCUCAUAUGGGGAUCUUCAGUCCGAAAAGGGAUAUCUAUGUGGCCCAUGUAACAUCCUACAAUAUAUUGACUAUGAAAGCUAAUGUUUGGUAAAUGUGAGUAAAUAAGUAAUAUCAUGGUAAAUGUGAGUGAAAUUUCACUUUGGGUUACUACAUAUCUUCGAUUCCCAUCUUAGCUAUCAACAGAAAAUAUCACUUUGAUUUGAUUUAUAACUUUCACCAUGUUAAGAGUAAACGAUUCAACCAUUUAAUAAGUUAGCCAAGUCGAUAGAAACAAUAUAGCCAACCGAAAUAAAUAUGUAUAGAGAUGCAUUUGAGGGUAAGACUCAUUAUGUCCCUUCUAUUAUGUGUAUAUUUUUAUGUUUAUUAAUGAGAUUCAUUCAAAAUAUUGAGUUUUUAAUGUAAAUUUUGCCCAGUCAGAUUUCGAAUCCUGAAUCUGCCACUGCUCCUGAGUUCCUCCUCCACAUACGACAUAACCUCUUUACAAAAAGACAUAUGUUUUUUUUUUUGCUUUCAACUCUUUUAACCCAAGUUCUGGUUUAAACUCAAGUCACCUUCUUCUCUCCGACCAUCGGCCAUAUAAAUCUCUAAGCACUAACAACGUAAAUCUCCGACGAACUUCUUCCACUGUAUGAUUAAUUCUUUUGGGAUGGUUAGUCCAACAACAUUGUUUUCAUUUCUCUUAUGCCCCCAAUUCGUGGUGGAGCCCAAAAUUGAUUUUAGUGUGGCCAAAUGAAGUAGCCAGCUAAGCUCUUUAAAAAUUAUUUUGGCCAAAAGUAUUACAAUUAUCACUACAUUUCAGCAACUUUAGCUUCCAGUUGGCAUUCUUCCCUGUCGCUGUGACAGAUAGGUGCUGUCUUGUGGUACAGAAAUGAAUGAUAAAAAUGACUGUUAACUGAAACGCGUACUUUCUGGCAAAUCCUUAAAGAAAGUCCCAUCAUAUUCAUAUUAAAGACUACGUUAUUCAUGUCUGCUACAAGAUGGCAAAUCCUUGCGGUACACGCCUAAUAAGGUAUAAAGCUAGUUUUCCCUGGGACAUGGGAGACUAGCUGGCAAAUACGAGAAGGAUAAAAAAAAUUGUGUUAACAAUAGUGUUCUAGUCAUUGAUGCGUUGUGAGAUUCACUUAAACAUCUAAUGAUGAGUUCUUAAGUUAUCAAGAGUGGAGUGAUUUGAAGUAUUUACUCCUUCAAGCAAGAAGUAAAUACCACAUUAACCACAAUCAGAUACUCCCGUCUGGAAAUCCAAGGCCCAUCCAAUCACAAUCAUAUACCACUACAAGAAAAAAAGGUCAGUAGUGGCCAAUUUCCUUAUGACCACAUUAAUAAUGGUCACAUAUACAAUGAAUUUAAUGACCAAUAAUACUACAUGGUCAGUAAAUUAAUUAAGACAUAUUUUUUAUUUUUUAAUGACUAAUUUUUUUUACCAGUAUUUAAAUUAGUCACUAAAAACAACUUAAAUAAUAAAGUUAGUGACCAACACAUAUGCCAAGCUAGCCUUACUUAUGUUAUUUAAUUCAUCAGUGACCAAUUAACUUUUUUUAACCUUUAUUUUUGGUUUUCAAAACGCCCGUCUUUUGAGCGAGAAGAGCAAAAGCAUCUAUAAAAAAAAAAAAAAAACGAGCGAGCUUAGAACGAGACCACAGAGAGCGAUACCAUCUUCUUUGACGAACGAGACCAGAGAGAGCUCAGAGCAAGACCUGCGAUACUGUCUUCUUCGACGAGCGAGCUCAGAGCGAGACUAGAGAAAGUGAUAUCGUCUUCUUCGAUGAGCAUCGUCUUCUUCGUCUCUGUCGUUUCGAUUUCUAACUUUUCUCCCAAUAUCAUGUGAGCUUUCUAUUUCUCUUUGCUUUCAAUGUUAGUUUUGAUUUCAUUUGAGUUUGAUUUGAGUACGAUUAUGACUCUGAGUCUGAUUCUCUAUUCCCUAAUUCCCUAGUUCUCUAGGUUUGAUUUGAUAAAUAAAGGCUUUAAGCAAAACUUUGUGUCCUUAAAUCAGCUAGGUUUUCUUUUGGUACCCAAGCAGAGCUUGAUUUUAGGUUCAAUUUUGAUUUCAGUUUUGAUUAUUACGUUUUAUUUAUUUAUCUACCGCUUGUUGUGAAUUUCAGUUUGCAGUGGACAUCUUCUAAUAUAAACAAAGCAUGUCCUGAUUAGACUGUUGUAUAUUGUGUGGAAUUUCACAAUCCAUUGAUUUUCUGACCAAUUUUGUUUGCUUUAGGCUAGUUUCAUACAUCUACUUGGAAGACCAUAAAACCCAAAUUUAGACUAAUCACCACUGCUUUCUUUUUUUCUUUCAUUUUUGGGUUUGAUUAGAGAUGGAUAGGAGUUGGAUUCAUAUGCACACUAGGGGAAAAACACAAUUUAUUCAUGGGGUGAAAGAGUUCAUUAAUUUCACAAUUGGGCACAUGAAACCAGGGAUCACUGAAAUGUUAUGCCCAUGUAAUAGAGGCAACAACCUACUUUAUAGGUCUCCACAUCAAGUUGAGGACCAUUUAUAUGCAAAUGAAAUGAGUAAAUGGAUAUUUCAUGGAGAAGAAAAGAGUGAUGAUGAUUUUGUUGGUAUAAAUAUAAAGAUAAUUGCUAUAUUUAUAGAAUUUCGAAAAUAAAACUUCACUAUAAAUUCAAAAUAAAUACAAGAAAAUAACGAUAAGGAAAAUUAAGAAUACUUUACAGAUGAUCGAGUAUAGAACUUGGUUCUAGCUCCUUAAGACGAAAUUGCCUCCUCAUAGGUGCUUUUAGGAUUUACUUGGCAAACGUCUCCCAGGAUACAACGAUUGACUUCUUGUUGAAGUAGCACUACAAUCCCCAAGAAAAGCGAACUCAAACUUGUGUAUGAAUUCUCUCUUACUCACUCACUAUAUUUCUAACAAAUAUAAUGCUAUGAAUGCUCUUAAAACUACUAUUGUUGGAUGACAAUUGGAUGAAAUGAAAUGUUGUAGAAUUUUCUCUAUUUAUAAGCAACAAGGCCUCUAUUCAAAAAAGAUGUGACUGAAAAAUAUCAACAAAUGUGUCUUUUCAUGUUGCAACCAUAAGCCAAGAAGUGCAAUGUUUCAUUUAUUAUGAAACAAUGCAACUUAAGCCAAGAAGUGCAAUAUUUCAAUUUCUAUGAAACAUUGCAACUUAUCACAUAAAAUAUUAUUAUUUUACAAACAAAAUAAAUAAUAUUUUAUUUUUUCUCGAUUAAGAAUAUGACUAUUCUCAAUGAAUACAUACCAAAAAGUCAUGUACUUAAAGUCACGAGUUCCACAAUUUAAUUUCCAUUCAAUUAUUAAAAAAUUAAAUAUAAAUAUUAUAAUUUUCUAACAGAUUUAGAGGAAGAGGAAAGUAAAGACUGCUCACCCAUUCUAAAUGCUUUUUUUUGGGUAAAUAGCAAACUAAAGGAAGACCAUGCCAUCGUUUUCAUUUUAUGCAUGUUAUGCAAGUAAGCAAAGACCUUACACAUGCUAUGCAUGUGUGAGCGAAAUAGUUAAUUUAUGAGUAAGAAAAAGUGGUGGUGUUUAUGGUACAUGAAUAGGAGAUUUUUAUUUAUGUUUUAUUAAAAUAAAUUAUUAUUAAUUAUUUACUUACUAAUCAGUUAACGCUCGAUGUUACAUAUAUGAAAUCGGGCAAUCUCAUAUGUGGGGUCUUCAGUCCGAAAAGGGAUAUCUAUAUGGCCCAUGUAUCCUACAAUAUAUUGACUAUGAAAGCUAAUAUUUGGUAAUUGUGAGUAAAUAAGUAAGAUCCUCUGACACAGUAAAUAUCCUCUUACACAGUAAAUAAUUAAGUGAUAUCAUGGUAAAUGUGAGUGAAAUUUCACUUUGGGUUACUACAUAUCUUCGAUUCCCAUCUCCCCCUAUAUUCAAGGUUCUAGGAACGAGGGCAUCUUGGAUUUGAGCUUUUCUUUUCGGGCCUUUUGGCCUUCUUAGCUAUCAACAGAAAAUAUCACUUUGAUUUGAUCUAUAACUUUCACCAUGUUAGAGUAAACGAUUCAACCAUUUAAUAAGUUAGCCAAGUCAAUAGAAACAAUAUAGCAAGCCGAAAUAAAAGAAGCAAGGUGUAAUAUUAUAAGGAACUAGAAUUCAGAAUCCAAAACAUAAUAAUAAACAAAGAAUAAGACUUCUUUUUUAUACAAGCGAUAUAAACUACGGGGAGAAAGAUUUGAAUUCGGGUGCAGAGUGGGGAGCACAUCCGCUCUUACCAACUUGGCUAAGUCCAUAUUUGCAAGAACAAGACUUCUUAAGCAACAAUCCCCAUCUUUCUACCAUAAAUUUGGAGUUAACCAAGUUAGUUGUGUUCUAGGUAGAAUACAUCAAUCUUACGAGAUGUAUAUGUUUCAAAAGAAGGUAAAUUACAUAUAGUGUUUGUUAUAAAACCCCAAUAAAGUUGUCAUGCUUUGGCUCAAGCUUUUAUACUCUAUAUGCUCUUUAUAUGUGAACUGCAUGUAUAUAGAUAUACCAAGUCCACUUAAUGCUUCUAAAACGAAGCUCUAUAUGGUUGCAUUCAAGCUUUAAUUCAUGAAAAUAAAUCAUGAAGACAAAUAAUACUUAACUGAAGUAUAAUGAGAAACUGUAUCAACCAAAUAUGAAACUUAAAUAGUUAAGCAAAAUCAAAACAUAAAAAUUCUACCUCAAUGCAUAUCUAAUAACUGAAAAUGAUAUGCAAAAUUUACUCUCACAAUUCUGCAUCAUCAAAACUAGCCAAAAUAUGAAUAUGGUUUGAAUACUUUGGGUUUAUUCUUCUCCAUAAAGAGGAAUAUAUAGGAGUUUACAUAUGAAAGUUUUACAAGGAAUUAAAUAUAGUAAAGAAUUAGGAAAGUAUCUCCUAAUUGUACAAUGAUUUAUCACUUAUAUAAAAAAUAGGAAAGUAAAUCACUUAAUUAAUCAAGGAAGUAAAUCUCCUUGAUUAAUUAGGAGACUCACGUCAACACUCCUCCUCAAGUUGGUGCAUAUAUGUCACGAAUGCCCUGGUAAGUGAGUCAUAAAAUAUUCUUCCACACUCUGUGUGUAUGCAAUAUCUGAUCUUGGAAGACGUAUGAAGAGUAGAACCUUUGGUGGUGGUGAUAGAAGAAGGAGUCUGAGUUGACUGCAUGCUUCUGUGAGUCUGCAAUAAGAUGGAGAAUCGUAUGAGUUCUUGACAUCGCAGCGGAAGUAAGAUAUGAUAUGAGCAGGUGAGGAAUUUCAGGUGAGGAAUUUGAUGUAGGAAUUGGAUUUAAGAGGUAUGUGUAUAAGAUUUGAGGGUAUGUGUUUAGGGAUUUUGAUAAGAGGAUUUGAGGACUUUAGAUUUGAUGGAUUUGGAUUUGGGAAAAAUUAUGAGGAAUUUGAUUUAGGGUUUUGGAUUUGAAUAUGGGAAAUUUGAGAUAAGGGUUUAGAGACAUCAACGGAAAAAAUAUGAGGCAUUUGAUUUAGAGUUUUGGAUUUGAAUAUGGGAACAAAUAUGAGGAAUUUGAUUUAGGGUUUUGGAUUUGAAUAUGGGAAAUUUGAGAUAAGGGUUUAGAGACAACUUCUCUUCACUCCCAUUCUCCCUCUAAAGAGAUAGGGUCGUCGAAGUCAAGAAAUAGGCAAUAUCUUCAUGAGAAAGAGAAACAUAUCUUUUUCACUCCCCCCAUCCCCCCCUUGAAGAAGAGGUGAGGAGAGCACUUAAAUUGCAAGAAGAACGCAAGCACAGGUCACAAGAGAACUUGGCUCUGAUACCAUGCUAAAAUAUGUAUAUGGCUUGAAUACUUUAGGUUGUUCUUUAUUCUUCUCCAUAAUGAGGUAUAUAUAGGAGUUUACAUAUAAAGGUUUUACAAGGAAUUAGAUAUAGUAAAGAAUUAGGAAAGUAUCUCCUAAUUGUACAAUGAUUUAUCACUUAUAUAAAAAAAAAAAAAAAGAAAGUAAAUCCCUUAAUUAAUCAAGGAAGUAAAUCUCCUUGAUUAAUUAGGAGACUCACGUCAACACAGCUGACCUCUUGUUGUUUCUAGAAUAAAAUACUGUUGCACUAUUAUCACAGAAAAUUUGCACAAGUCUAGCAAUCGAAUCCAGCACACACAAACCUAUUAUAAAGUUCUUCAACCAAGAAUAUGCUUGGAUGGUGGCCUCAUAACAAGCAACAAACUCAGCCUGCAUCGUUGAAGCAGCCACAAUGCUUUGCUUUAAACUUUUCCAUGAAACAGCUCCUCCGCUAACAAGAAAACAAAUGCUGAUGUAUACUUUAAAUCAUCUAGAGAACCUAUAAAAUCAGAAUCACAAUAUCCUACUAACUCCAAGCUUUCUUGUCUUUGAUAAACCAUAAAACUCUUGGUCCUUUGCAAAUAUGUCUUGACUUUCUUGGCUGCCAUCCAAAGUGCAUUCCCUGGAUUUGCUUGAAAUUUGCCUAACACACUAAUUGCAAAGGCAAUGUCUGAUCUUGUGCAUACUUGAGCAUACAUUAAGCUGCCCACUAAAGAUGCAUAGGGUCUGAUCUUCAUCUCUUUUUUCUCCAACUCAUUUUGAGGACUCUGAGCUCUACUUAAUUUGUCUCCUUUUGUAAUAGGAACUUCUCCAGAUGCAUAAGAUAACGUAUUAAAUCUUUUAAGCAUUCUUUCUAUGUAUCCCUUCUUUGAUAAGCCAAGCAUACCUCGACUUUUGUCUCUGUGUAUCUCCACUCCUAGCACAUAAGACGCCUCCCUCAUAUCUUUCAUCUCGAAAUGUGAUGACAGGAAAAACUUUGUGUCAGCAAGCAUAGACAAAUUGUUAGUGGCCAGUAAGACAUCAUCGACAUAAAGUACUAAGAAGAUGAAAUUGCUCCCACUAAAUUUUAGAUAAAUACACUCAUCCACUGGAUUCUCUGUGAAGCCUUAUGAGCUUACAACUUCAUCAAACCUCAAGUACCAUUGCCUUGAUGCCUGCUUCAGUCUAUAAUUGGACUUUUUGAGUUUGUAGACCAAAUGCUCUUCUCCAUCCUUUAUAAAACCCGCAGGUUGCACCAUAUAUACUUCUUCAUCCUGUCUCCCCUUUAAAAAGGCUGUCUUUACAGCUAUUUGAUGUAAAAACAGGUCAUAUUGUGCAGUAAGAGCCAUGAUAAUGCGAAACGCAUCUUUAGUUGAAACUGGGGUAAAAGUUUCACUGUAAUCUAUUCCUUUUUUUUGAGUAAAACCCUUUGCAACUAAUCUGGCCUUCAAUCUUUCUAUGUUACCCGUUGAGUCUUUCUUGGUUUUGAACACCCAUUUACACCCUAUUGGCUUCACUCCUUUGGGCAGCUCCACUAAAUCCCACACCUGAUUGUUUUUCAUUGAAUCUAAUUCACUUUCAUGGCUUCUCUCUAUUUCAAUACCUUUGGACUAUUAAUUGCUUCAUUGAAAGAUAAAAGAUCUUCAAAAUCUGAUGCCAUAAACUCUGAUUCUUGUAAAUACACUACAUAAUCUUGGGAUAUUGCUGGUCUUCUAUUUCUGUUAUAUUUUCUCUGUGGGGCUGGUGCUUCUUGUGGCUGAACUACUUCAUUGUUCACAUCUUGAGUUUCCUGGACUUGGAUUUCAUUCCCGUGUUCUUGUUCAGGUUCCAUAUCUUCUCCUUGUAUUUCACUUAUAUGUGGAAUUUGCACACUUUGCACAUCUUUGCUUUGGCAAAACUGUUCUCUAUAUCUCAAUAUGUGUUACAAACUCAAUCCUUUUCUUUUGUUCAAUUGAUAUAUCAUAACCAACAAAAAUUGCUUUGGCUAUUUUAUUUGAUUAUGAUAUCCUUUAGGAACUAUUUGGAUUGACUGUAUAAUUUCCUGCAUAAUGGUUUGUAAACCAAUCAUAAAAGUAAUCUUUAAAUUUACAACAAAAAACUGCAGAAUUUGGUUAUCCUCUAGCAAACACUGCUGCCUUUAUAGGUAUUACAAGUAUGACAAAACCUGGCUCUGAUACCACAUGUUAGUCUCACAACAUCUUAGUAGACAUACAAAUAAUACACAAAAUACCUACAGAAGAAACCAUUGUUCCAGUAGACAAGUCUUCCACCUCCUUAACAAGCUAUGUAUAUCACUCUAUCUCAAUGGGGCUCAAGAACUUUUGUGAUUCGGUGCUUGACAAAGGCACGGACCUAUCCUAUUUAUAAUGAGCUUUAGUUGGUGUAAUUCUAAUAGGACUCUCCCAUUACAAUCCUAUUAGAAUUCAACCUAAUCACCAAGUAACCGGAUCACCAUGUCCAACUUUUUAAAUUAUAUUAGGACUUCAAUACUUAAAUAGAAUAUCUUAAUCACAUAUGUAUAAGCUUCAUAAUACUUGUUCGAAUUGAUUUUGGUAUCUGUCUCGGAGUCCCAGUCAAGUACAACGAGUGUGUGACCUUAUAAUGCUUACACAUCAUCCUCAUCCUCCUCAUCGUUAUUGUGAUAGCCAUCACUGUCAUCAUCAUUCUCUUCCAAAAAAGAUAUUUUGUGUUUGAUGGAUCAAGAAGACUUCAUUAUUUGUUAGCAGAAACGUGUGAUUGAUAUGACCCAAAAAAACGUGUGAUUGAUUGAACCUUAAAAACCUAAACCUUAAAAUAGGAAGAUAGUGCAUCCGUAUCAUAUUUUAGCACAAGUCUAGAGUAUUAAAUUGAAAUUAACUCAAAAUAAAUUAAAGAAACAUAAUGGCCAUGAUAGAACGAUGUGGUCUUGUGACAUUUUUUUUUUUUUUUGUGAUGGACAUCAACAAUUGUUGAAUUAAAAAAAAACAAAAACAAAAAAACCGAAAACUCAUCAUGAAUCAUAACUUUGGACAUAAGAUAGAAAUUUCAAUAUCCAUAUAUGCCUCCAAAUAAAAGAGAGAAACAUGCAACAAAAUGGAAGUGAAUGUGUGAUAUAAACUACAUUUCAGCAACUUCAGGUUCCAUUUGGCUAAUUACUUUAUUUUGGUUAUCAACUGAGGAAACUAGCAAACCAUCCUGCAGAAAGCUUUGGAGUUCGCUCAAGUGUUUCCCGAUCAACAUAAUAUAAGCCAAAUCUUUUGGUGUAUCCAUUGAGCCAUUCAAAAUUAUCCAUCACGGACCAAACGAAGUAUCCACGUACAUCAGCACCACUUCUGUCAAUUAAAAUCAUAAAAUUAAUAUUCCACGUUUAUAUUAUAUAUAUCAUUGCUUUGAGGAAUAUCGAAGAGACUCAAAUUAAUUGUUUGUCAAAAACCUUAUUGCUCUGACUAAAGAGGCAAGGUAAGAUCUGUGAAAGUUGAUCCGAUCCCUGUCUUCUAGUUCAUUCUCUUGUGUUUGUAAAGUGCAUCCUGCCACAUAGUUGAAACAAAAAAAAAAUUGUUCGAUAUAUGAAUCUGUUUACAAUCAAUGAAAUGAACAAGUUGUGCAUCCACUAACCAUUUUCAGUCACAAACAUGGGCAUGUUAUUGUAUCUUUGCUUAACAUAGUCAAUUGAUCUUCUCCAUGCCUCUUGGAACAACAAAGAAAUCAGCCAGUCCAGUCUGUAUGUGAAAGACAACACACGAGUUGAUGACCUUGUUAGCUAAUAUAGAAAGGAAACCAAAAACCAAUUAGGCAACAAAGAAGAUCAUGUUCUCAGACUAUCGAUCUAAACUAUAGAUCGUAUAAGUUGAUAGUCUGACAACAUAUUAUGUCAUACUGUUUUACGAUAUAACAAUGUAGUAUGUUUUAUAUACCGGUUCUCCAAUUGGAACCCCAUCUCGAUACCCAGUUGUGUUGAGAAAUCCCAUGAUGGGACGGUCACCCCCAGAGGGGCAAGGAGAGUGAAUACAGUCCUUGACAUAUAGAGUUGAAUAGUGGUUGACACCGAUAAAAUCUAUGCUUCCUCUCAAAAGCUGUUUCUCUUUGGCGGAAAACCUUGGUAACUCCAAGCCAUGGCAAUGGCGCAUUUCAGCGGGGUAAUCUCCAUACACUACAGGAUCAAAUGUCCUGUUUGGAAAAAGAAAAAAAAAUAGUCACGUACGUACUUUUUGCAUACGAUUUGUGUACUCCAUGUACACUUCUAUUGUAUAAACAGUAAAUAGAAUACACAAAACUAAAGACCUAUAGUAUGAUUUGUGUACUCUUUGUACACUUCUAUUCUCAAAUUCACACAAUUUAUAACACUUGUGAUAGGUUUAAGAUUCAUCAUUUAGAAUUUACAGUUUUGAUUUUAAUAAACAUACGUGUUAUAAUUUGGAUAAACUUGUAACAAUAUCUCAUGACAUCAUCUUUACCAUCGUACCAAAUUUUAAACAAAAUUCUAAGAGGGAUUUGGAUUUUAACAUGAGGGCUAACAACUACAAUAUCUGUGUGGGCCAGGUGAAUCUGAUCCACUUGAUGAAACUUAGACAUGUUAAAAAUCUGAAGAUGUUUUGUGGGUUCCAUACCAAGGCUUUUGCUUUUCUUUGAACAUUUACACGAGUCUUUGGAAAUGCCUACCAGCGAAGAAAUGGCGGAUCUCAAGAUUAUGAAGCUACAUUUUUUAUUAAAUUAGUGAGGUUAAAGAAUGCAGCAAGUCAUGCAAAACCUAAUGACAAAUUGAAAAUAAAUAACUUAUAAUUAUUAUUUUGUUGCAUAACUAAUACAUUUGACUAUAAUUUUUUUUUUUAUAUAAUUCAAUUUGCGUCAUCGAGGAUUUCUUUAUACAAUAAAUUUAUCACAAGUUUCAUUAGCUUAUAUGGCGUCCAAUUUUUUCUAAUUUCUAAAUGAAGCACCAUUUCUUUUCUUUUUUUUUAUUCUAUAAUAAUUCGGAAUAGAUUUGUUCGGAUUGGUUUAAAUAAUAUUUUAUUCAUGGUGGUUGUUAUUUAAAAAAAGUAUUUUCCUAGUGGACUGAAAAAAUAGAACUUUUUCAAUAAAGUAUAUUAAGAUUUAAGGGACUCGACAUAUGAUUACUAAUAAAUUAUGGCUAAACAAAAUUGAAGAAGCACUUACCAGGCCACAUUGAAAGCUAAGGCUCUAUCAACAGCAUCCCGAUCCCUUUCUUCAUCCCUAAGCGGUUCAUACAUGAAUGCAUGCGCAACAAUUCCUAUAAAUCCAUUUUGUUUCGGCUGUAACAUUAAUUACGUAGUUAAGCAGAUAUGGGCGGAUGUGCUCUCUACUCUAUACCCGAGUUUGAAUUUCCCUUCUCAUCAUUUAGAUUAGUUUAAACUAGAUUAUCGCUUGUAUCAUAAAAAAUCAAGUAGUUAAAAGUUUGAUAAUGAAAAAAAAUACGUACCCAGAAAAAAGUACGAUAAAUUUCAACAGCCAUAGCAUGUGCUAUUAACAUGUUGUGCAUUCCAAUAAGAGGCUCAAUGUCAGAAUUGCCAGUGGAACAAUUGCCAAAUGGUGGAGAACAACGAGCCGGUGGAAAUAGUCCUCUGAGAUAGGCAAAAUCAGCCACCAUAUUGGGCUCAUUUAUGGUAACCCAGUACUUUACCCUAUCUCCAAAACUCUCAAAGCAUAUGGAGGCAAAAUGUACAAACUCUUCCCUGCACCAACAGUGAAAGAAUGAACUCUUGAGAACUCCUAAAAGCUUGACAUAUAGUUAUAUCACUUAUCAUAGCAGAGAAUGCCGUAAUGAAUAUUGCUAUUUGAACCACACUUACGGAUCACUGAUAUAUGAAUUUGAUUAGUGCAAAUAGUUUUACUCGUACCUUAAUAGCGGACUGAGCCAACCCCCGUCUCUUUGUUCUAGUACUUGGGGCAGGUCAUUGUGGUGAAUUGUCACAAAUGGCUCUAUUCCUGCAUGGUAGCAGACUUAGAUGACUAAACGUUGUUUAAUUUGGCUAGUAACUUGCUACUUAGUAAAUCGAGUGCUCAUGCACAGGUACCUUUGCUUAGAAGAUUGUCUAUAAGUUUAUUAUAAAAGAUGAUCCCUCUUGGAUUGACUGAGCCCAGCAUCCCAUCUGUGAAUGGCUCAAGACGAUCAUUUCCAAUUUAAAACUAAGUUGUAAAAGCCCAGAUUAACAACAGAACAAAGCAAACAAAAAACAAGAUUAAACGAUAAACCAAAUUAAGAUAACACGAAGCGGGCACCGUACCAGGUAGAAUUCUAGCCCAGGAAAUGGAGAACCGGUAUGCAUUUGUUCCUAAGGAAUGCAUCAGCUCAAUGUCUUCCUAUAUAUAUAUAUAUAUAUAUAUAUAUUCAUAUACACACAAGAAUAUUUCAGAAAGUUAAAUGGUUUGCUCACUGUUAUGUGUUUGUUUUCUAAGGAAAGUGGAUGAGAAAGGGGUGAUCUAUAUGGAAAGUUCAAUACCAAGUAGCGGUUGUAAUGGUCGUCUGCAACUUCUCCAUUGUCAUCAUCCGCUAUUUUUCCUGUGCAGAUAUUAAUUUGGUGAGUACAAAGAUCUAUGAAAAAUUAAAAAAACAAGCUUUGUAGUAAAUAAUAUUUAGUGUUACCUGGAAUUUGAGUGAAAAAAUCCCAGUUGCUUAAGCCCUUACCAUCUUCAAGAUAAGCACCUUCAACCUUAAAAAUUUGAAUGAAAAGCCAAUUCAAAGUUCAGAUAGUUGCAGAAAUAAAGAAAGAGUUUGAUGAGAAGAAGAAGAAGAAGAAGAGGAAAAUGCCUGAUAAGAUGAAGUGGAUGCACCAAAGAAGAAGUCAUCUGGGAAUUGAGACCUUUGGACUUGUUCUUCAACAGAGAAAAUGAAGAAAACAGAGGACAAGUACAAGAAAAAGAGGUAGCCUCCCCUGAGCUCCAUUUUGUUGGUUUCGAUUUUCGUGAUAUCAAGUUGGUAUAUAUAUGAACAUUUGGGUAUGGCAAGAAGUUUAUUAUUAUUAUUAUUAUUUUAUACAAGUGAUAUUGAAGGCGAGGGAGUUUUCUUAGGACAAUGCUUCCACAUACGACGUGGCCUCUUUACAAAAAGACACCUGUUUUCUUUUUUCUUUCAACUCUUUUAACCCAAGUCUUGGUUUUAACUCAGAUCACACUCUUUUCUCUCCGACCCUCGGCCACAUAAAUCUCCAAGCACUGACAACGUAAAUCUAUGGCGAACUUCUUCCAUUGUUUGAUUAAUUCUUUUGGAAUGGUUAGUCCAACAACAUUGUUUUCAUUUCUCUUAUGCCCCCAAUUAGUGGUGGAGCCCAAAAUUGAUUUUAGUGUGGCCAAAUGAAGUAGCUUGCUAAGCUCUUCAAAAAUUAAUUCAAACCCCUUGGAUUAAACAAGAACAGCCCCUACAAUAUUAUAUUAAAAAGUAUUUAUCUUUAUUAUAAAAAUGCAUCACGUGAAUUCCAAUCAUUCUAACAGUUGGGAUUCCAAUUCCAAUCAUUCUAACAGUUGGGAUUCCAAUCAUUCUAACAGUUGGGAUUGUACAGAGAUGGGCUUAUUUCUACAUAGAGGUGUAGGCUAAUAUUUGAUUCACCUAGUUUGGGCAUGAACAACUUAGCCUAAGUUGUAUAUUCUAAAAACUCCAGCCCACACUUAGAUCCGCAUGUGCUCCCAACGUUUUAUAGGAUUAUGAACCUGAAACCAUUAAUCUACAAAUCAAGGCACUUUUUCAGUGAGCUAGAUUUCGUUGGGAAGAAUAUUUAAUACACAAGGUGAGGGGCCAUCUAUAAUUCACUGCAUUCUAUUUCUGGGACAACGAACAAACCUUAUGAAAAAACAGAAGUGAAUCAGAAAAGAAAAUUUUCCAUUACUCGUUUGAAGGGUCUUUUCAUUUGCCAACUAUUUAGAGUUUUGCAUAUGGAGAUAAACAGGUGGUUUCCAUUUCUCUUAUGCCCAAAAUUGAUUUUAGUUUGGCCAAUGAAGUAGCUAGCUAAAAGCUCUUUAAUAUAAUAUGACAAGCCAUAAUAAUUUUGGCCAAAAAGUAUUACAAGUCUCAUCAUUAUCAUUAACAAGGACUUUUUCUACAUUUCAGCAACUUUAGCAUCCAGUUGGCUAAAUAUAAUAUUAUUGUUAUGACCUGAAGCUGCCCUAAUUUCUUCCCUGUCGUUGUGACUAUUGUUUCUGAGGAAACUAGCAAACCAUCCUGCAGAAAGCUUUGGAGUUCGGUGCAGCGUUUUUCGAUCAACAUAAUAUAAACCAAAUCCUGUGGUGUAUCCACUGAGCCACUCAAAAUUAUCCAUCAAGAACAAAUGGAAUAUCCAUGAACAUCAGCCCCAUUCCUGUCAAUUAGAAUUUCACAAUUAAUAUUGCAAAUUUAUAUCAUUCCUUUGAGGAUUAUUGAAGAACUAAUUCAUUGAUGAUACCUUAUUACUCUGGCCACAGAGGCCAUGUAAGCUUUGUGAAACUUGAUCCUGUUCCAAUCUUGUAGUUCAGUCUGUGGGGUUGGUGAAGAGUAUCCUGCCACAUAGUUGAGAAAAUUGUUGGAUAUAUGAACAGGUUUUCAAUCACAAGUUGUGAUAUUGGCUUUAUACCGUUUUCAGUAAUAAACAUGGGCUUGUUAUUGUAUCUUUGCUUUAGAUAAUCAAGCAUCUUCUCCAAGCCUCUCGGAACCACAAAAAACCUAGGCAUUCCAGUCUAUGAAACACAGCACAAGUUGAGAGCACCUUGUUAACUAAUAUGUGAAGGAACCAAAAUCCAAUAACCAUGGAAGAAGAAAUAAAUUAUGAAAAUUUAUCCAAGAAAAGAAGGGGGAAAUAACAAGGCUGAUGAUGCAAGGGUACAAUAGCUAUGCCAAAUGAUUUUGUUUGCUAGGCACGGGCAUGUCAUGCAUUAUAGUCUGAUAACGUAACAUGUCACACUGAUUAUAUCAAGAAUAAUGUUCGAUAUACCAGUUCUCCAAUUGGUACGCCAUCUCGAUACCCAGUUGUGUUGAAAAAGCCUCAGAUGGCAUGGUCACCGCCUAAGGGGCAAGCAGAGUGGAUACAGUCCUUGACGUAUAGAGUUGAAUAGUGGUUGAAGCCUAUAAAAUAUAUGCUGCCUCUUAAGAGCUGUUUUUCGUUGUGGGAAAACCUUGGCAAUUCCAAGCCGCAUUUGCGCAUUUCAGAAGGGUAAUCUUCAUGCACUAAAGGAUCAAACAUCCUGUUAAGAAAAAGAAAAAAAAAUUUAGUCAUGCUUUGUGUACUCUUAAUUUCUACACUUCUAUUGUGCUGUGAUCAGAUCUUAUAAUAUUAUAAGCAAAUUAGUAGAAACACAGAUUAGAAAAAUAAACACUUAACAUGCGACACUGAAAGCCAAAGCUCUAUCAACAGCAUGCCAAUCCCUUUCAUCAUCUCUCAGCGGUUCAUACAUGUGUGCAUUUGCAACAAUUCCAAUAAACCCAUGCUGUUUUGGCUGUGUCAACAUAAAAGUUAUCACAUAUAUGCACCCUCAAAUUUAAACCCAAAAAGUGGUAACGUUUCCAACUUCAGCUAAGAACAAGUUCAUAUUCGCAUCGCAAUGGAAAAUACAAGUUCAAAUUCCCUAUAGACAAAUCACUGUUUGAUAUGUGUGUUUUCAUGCUUUUGAGAAAUUAUUUAUGCUUAUAUGUCAGACCAAAAGAUGUCAAACAAUGUUUACAUGCAAUUACCAAAUUACGUACCCAAAAAACCCUACGAUAUGUGUCAACCGCCAUCGCAUGAGCUAUUAAAAUGUUGUGCAUUGCAAUGAGAGGCUCAGUAUAAGAAUUUCCACUUGAACAGUUCCCAAAAGGGGCUGAACAACGAGCUGGUGGGUACCAUCCCCUUAUAUAGGCAAACUCAAUCAUGAGAUUGGGCUCAUUGAAGGUAAUCCAGUACUUCACCCUGUCCCCAAAACUCCUGAAGCAUAUGGAGGCAAAAUGUGCAAAUUCUUCCCUUCAACAACAAAGAAUUCAAUAAAAAAUCUUGCAAAAUCAGUAAAAGCUUAAUUGCCAAGAGUUCCAAAUAUAGUGUUGUUUCAAAAAUAAAAUAAAAAUCGUACCGUAAGAGUGGACUAAGCCAACCCCCAUCUCUUUGUUCUAGAACUUGGGGCAUGUCAUAGUGGUGAACUGUCACAAAUGGCUCAAUCCCUGCAUUAUGCAUCCAAAAUCCAAAUCAUGCACGUACAUAUAUUUUAAUUUAGAAAAAAUUUAAUUGGUCUUGAAUUGUAGAUCAGAUUAUGUACCUUUGAGCAACAGAUGGUCUAUAAGUUUGUUAUAAAAGGUGAUCCCACUUGGAUUGGUUUUGCCGAGCAUCCCAUCUGUUAUUGGCUCAAGAAGAUCAUUUUAAUUGAGUUGCAAAUAUCCCAGAUUAACCCAAAAAAAACUAAUUAAUUAAGAUAAUAUGAAACAACAUACCGGGUAGAAUUCUAGCCCAUGAAAUAGAGAAGCGAUAUGAAUUCAUUCCCAGGGAAUGCAUCAGCUCAAUGUCUUCCUAUAUAAAUUCAUAUACACGCAAAGUUCAUCUCAAAAAGUUAAUUAAUUUGCUCAAUAUAUUUUAUGUGUUUGUUUUCUCUUUUAAUUGUUCUCAAGACUUACCAAGUAGCGAUGGUAAUGGUCGUCUGCAGACAUACCCAUUCUCAUUACUUUCUAUUGUUCCUGAAGUAUUUUUAAGAUAUAGACAUUAAUUUACUGAAAAUCCAUGAAAAUAUUAAGAAUAAAAAUAUAUAAUGUCAAGAUUUGAUUUUUUUUUUGUGUGUUUGUUUUUUUUGGGUGGGGUUCUGACAACAUUGUUAGUUCUUUGUUUACCUGGAGUGUGACAGAAAACAUCCCAGUUGCUUAGGCUCUUGCCAUCUUCAAGAUAAGCACCUUCAACCUUAUAAAAUCAAAAGAGGUAGCAAAUUCAAAGUUGAGAUAGUUGCAGAUCAGCAGAGAAAGAAUUCAAGAAGAGGAAGAAGAAGAAGAGACAAAUGCCUGGUAAGAUGAAGUGCUGGCUCCAAACAAGAAGCCAUCUGGGAACUGAGACCUUCGGAUUUCUUCAUUUUCUUUGAAGCUUUGAGCUGAAAAAGUAGAGGAAACAAGAACAAAAGAGUACCAAAAGAAACAGAGCAUGCCUCGUCCUGUGAACUUCAUUUUGUUGAGUACCUAUUUUUGUGACAUUUUCACUCUAACUGGGCUAUAUAACUAAGGCCAUACCCAAUGGUUGAGGCUAUAAAAGGGAUUUAUAGAACCUCAUUUAGAGCUCUGAUAGAAUCUUUGGGGCUUUAAAAGCAUCUCUCCCACGGUGAAAGACUCUAUAUUCGGUGCUCUAUAUUAGGAGUUUGAUAUUUUUUGUAUGAUGUAAUUUAAUUUAGGUGCUAUUUUUAUUUUUUGUUAAUUUAUUUAUAUUAGGUUUUUGUGUGUGAACAUUUCAACCUAAAAAAAUAAAAAAUUGGACAAGAUUUGAAAACAUAGUUAUAAAAAAAAAACCCUAGCCAUUUAGAACUUGAGGGUUGUAGUGUCAGUAACUUUAUCAACAAAACAAAAAAAAAAACAAAAACAAUGAGACAAGCUUGUUGCAAUUGGCCAAUUGAUUAAAAAAAUAGAAAAAGUAGUCGGCAACUAUCAAAAUGGGCAAGUAUGCCGCUGUUGAGUCGCAAGGCAAGUGAGCCAAAAAAUUGUUGGGCUGGCAGCUUUUUCCAAAUGUGGUCCUCAUUGAGUUUCAAGGACUGCAACCGGGUACACAAAUUUAGCUUCAGCUCCGGUUAGAACAACUUCACCCAUAAGGGUUAAGUUUAAAGUAAGGGUAAACAAGGGCUGCUACUAUUCAUAUGAAUAGUGACAGUCUUGUUAUUUGUAGUUCUACCUAUGAAGACUAAGUCUAUGGUAAGUCUAAGGCAAAUACUAUUCAUUGUACUUUAUUUCCUAUAUUUUUUUUAUACUUUAAACCAUUAAUUUUGAUAAUCUUUUGUAAUUAAAUUUUCGGAUAAUAUUUUUGGUUGUCAUGUGUCCAUUAUUUUUCAGAAAAGAUUUUCGGAUGAGAAUCUCGAUUGCCACGUGUCUUAUUCCAGAUAAAAUUUUCGGAUAUUCAUUAAAAAAAAAUUAUAAUCUCAGAUUUCAGAUAACAUUUUCACCCUCUAAAAUUGUGCCACGUGUCCCAUGUCAGAUAAGAUUUUCAGAUAUUAAAAAAAAAAUUAUAAUCUCAUAUUUCAGAUAAGAUUUUCACCCUAUAAAAUUGUGCCACGUGUCAUCUCUGUCAGAUAAGAUUUUCAAAUUUUUUUAAAAAUUAUAAUCUCAAAUUUCAUAUAAGAUUUUCAUCCUCUAAAAUUGUGCCACGUGUCAUCUCUAUCUUCUGAAUCCCUCUAUAAAACUACACUAUCAACUCAUACCUCUCACACCAUCUCUUAUCUAUUCCUUCAUUUCUCAGAUUUUACAAAACACAUUCUACUCUCAAUGUCAAACUUGAGGAGGGUGUUAGAGAGGCAACAGAAAGAAAGGGAAGAAAUCCUGCGUAGACGUGCUGAAGAAGAUCGGGACGCCGAUGAAGAAGAGGAACAAAUGCUUGCAGCAGUGGUGUGUAUGCUUAAUCAAUCAAGGCAACAUCGUCGUCCUCGUGCCCCAAAUGUGGACAGACGUAGAGAGUCUCGGGUAAGAAUCUCUUGGAGGAUUACUUUAUCCCAAAUUCGUUAUAUCCUGCUCAUAAGUUUCGAGAGAGAUAUAGAAUGUAGCCACAUUUGUUUCAAAAAAAUCAUGCAUGAUAUUUGUAAUUACGACACAUACUUCAUUCAAAAGCAUGAUGAUGUUGGAGUUUUGGGUCUUAUUCCGGAGCAAAAACUUACAGCUGCUUUGCGGAUGCUUGCUUAUGGGGCAUCUGCAGAGCAGGUGGAUGAGAUUGCAAGGAUGGGAAAAUCAACUAUCCUAGAGUGCUUGGUGAGAUUCUGUGAUGCAGUGAAAAAUUUGUACACGAAUGAGUACCUUCGCAAACCCACGUCAAGGGACCUGCAAAGGCUGCUACAAAAAGCAGAGGCUCGAGGUUUCCCAGGCAUGAUUGGAAGCAUUGAUUGCAUGCACUAGCAGUGGAAGAAUUGUCCUACUGCUUGGCAAGGAGAGUACGGGAAUCGAAAGGGCCAAAAAAGUAUAAUUUUGGAGGCCGUAGCUUCAUUCGACUGUUGGGUUUGGCAUGCCUUCUUCGAGGUUGCCGGAUCUCAGAAUGACCUCAAUGUCCUUGGCCAAUCUCCGGUGUUCGACGAGGUAUUACGAGGUCAUUCCCCUCAGGUCACGUACCAAAUCAACAAUACCAUAUACUCUGGUGCGUACUACCUUGCUGACGGAAUUUAUCCUAGGUGGACAACAUUCGUGAAAACAAUUCCGAAUCCCCAAUCCGAGAAGGAAAGAAGCUUUGCUUCAUUUCAAGAAGGUUACAGGAAAGACGUGCAAAGGUCUUUCGGUAUCUUGCAAGCUCGUUGGGCAAUUAUCAGGGGUGCUGCUCGGAUGCUAGACGAGGAGGUGCUGCGGAGUAUUAUGAUGACUUGCAUCAUCCUCCACAACAUGAUUGUGAAGGAUGAGUAUGACUACGAUGCUCCAGAGGUGUUUGAACUCGAUCUCAUGAAUACGGUGUUGACAAGAAUAUAUGAAAGGCCGAUGGGACUAAAUGGACUACCAAUGGAGCCCGAACCGUUAGUUCGGGAUGGUCGAUUCAACAACCCCAUGAUUGAUCGUUAUGAAGAAAUGCAAUCUUCAUAUGUUCACGAGAGACGUCAAGUUGACUUGAUCGAGCACUUGUGGGAGAUGAAAGGCAAUCACAAUGGAUGAAGUCAAGAUUAGUGUUUUGUUUGGAAUUAUGCUUUGUUUUUAAUUAUGCUUUAUUUUGUGUGUGGUGUUUUUUGGAAUUAUGCUUUUAUUUAUUAUUAUUAUGCUUUUAUGUAUGGUUUGUUUUGUGUGUUGUUUGCAAUAAAUUAAGGUUUUGUUUUAAUUAAUCUUUGUUUUGAUGCUCAAAUAUUUUUAAUAAAUAGUCAUAUUAUUUAAUACUUUUUUAUUUAAUGAAAAGGAAACAAUACAACAAAUUAAAGGAUAAUACAACAAUACAACAAUACAACAAUACAACAUAUGGCAAAGGUGUUUCAAUACAACCUAAUGGUUUUCAUCAUUUAACCAAUCGGUAUUGCUAGGUCCGUCAUCAUGGAAAAGUUUUUUUCUCAUCACAUCCCUUCGUCUAUGCUUCCAAUAGGCCUUUGUUUCAGGAGACAUAUGGCUCGUAUCCAUGGCCAUGAUUUUCAUCUCUUUAUCAUCCAUGUCUUUUUCUUGUGCAUGCUGCUGUUGAAUUGCAAAUGUUUCCUCUCGUGCCUUAUCCACUUCAUCUCUUUUCAAGUCUCUCUCAAUUCUUAGUGAGGUGUUCUUAGCUAUUUGCUCCAAUAAUUGUACACAUUCAUUGUUCGAAGUGCCCCCUCUCUUGGCCUUUGCCGCCUUUCUCCCAAUCGGUCUCGGCGGACGUAGGAGUGGUGACUCCGUUUCCAUUGGGGAGUCCAAUGGCGAAUCGGUUGAUAGUGAAUCGUGGAGCGACGUCUCAUUCAACACAACCGGCGGAUCGGUGGGAAUAAUUUUGAAUCUCGUACAAUCCUUCACAAUUUUCCAACAUUGGAAAUGCACGAAACUUUUUUUGCCUUGCCCCAUGGCCUAUUGGGGAUGGCCUAACUCACUCGAGCUAAACCCAAAUGGCCAAAGGAGAGAGAAAUUUUUUAAAAUAAGCCAAAAUGGACAAAUUGACCUUAUUUAUUUUUGGAUUUCCUAAGGAAUCCUUUACAUUUACAUGUCUUUAAUUUAAAAUUUGAGAGGUUUUUCUGUUUUUUUUUUAAAAAGUUUUGACUUUUUCCAUAAAUGAAAGUUUUUUUGUGACUAAAACCUAAAUUUACUUUUGUUAAUUUGGUGUUAAAAAGUUUUUAAUAAAAAACUAAUAUGACAAUUGAAUUGAAUUUAUAAAUAAAUAAGAACUUUUAAAAAAUCAAAAAAUAAGACACCGCCAUCAAAUCUCACCCACACCUCAAAGCCUCGAUUCCCAAGACACACACCCACCACCCAACUCCAAUGCACCCCACGAAACUCCUACAACCAGCCCCAGCAACAUCUUCCCCAGCAAUAAAGAUCUACCUUUUAUUCUUCUUCAUAAUUUGUCAAAUGCUUUUUCUUUUUCUUCAAUUUUCAGUCCUUCAAAGCACACACACAAAAGGGAUUCGAAUCCCUGCCAUUUCACUCUUCCAACGCCUUAAUCACCUUGUUGCUUAUAUUUUUGUGAUAAUACGCAAAUUGGAACUUUAUAUGGUACUAAGUCACUCAUGUAUAAUUAUUGUAGUAAAUCAUUAUAUAUAAAUGAUGAUGGUGUGUUUAAUCUUCUUUCAUUAAUUACUCAUAUUUUCUACACUUUAACAGCUCUUUAUAUAAUUAACUUAAAUAAGUUAAACUCAUCAUGCAAUGCAUUUCUUUCCCAUUUUUUUGUGAUAAACUAAUAGAUAAUUGACUAAAUAAACAUCCUCCAAAGUUUCAAUAAAAAUUUUCAAGUUUUUCUUACAAUUUCCGUAGUUUUUAUUCAAUUUUUAUCAAUAUCGAUAAUAUCUCGAUAUUUCCAUCGAAAAUUCCGUGUUUUUGAACUACCGAUAUUUCCGAUACCAUUGAUAUUUUAGACCAUGAUUUUAUGUAUUUGACUUUAAAUUUAGUUAAAAUUACAAAUUUACCCUUAUUAUUGACGAAAAUUUGGAUGAAAUUCCAAAGCCUUAACGACAAUGGUUAAAUUAGUUAUUUUGAUAAGUUUAAGUGCUAAAUUAACUGAUUUUUUAAUUCACGGGGUUAAGUUCAAUGGGGUUCCAAAUUCAAAGGGUAUGUCAGCAAUUUACUCAAAUAAAUAUGACACGAAGGGAGAGAAAAAGAGACUGAUGUUCUGGAUGGGCUACAAUUCUUUAGCCAAGCUAGGAUAACUUUAGAAUUAAACACCCGCCCAGAAUGCAUCAAGUUUGAACAAUUUCAGACCGUUGGGCCAAUUUUGCGUAGUCGGAGGUAUGAGCCCGAGCUUUUAAAUAAAAAUAUGAAACUGUGACGAGGGCAACGUAAGAAAGCAAAUGAAUAUCCUGCCCCAAAGACCAUUAAUUGUCAUCUAUUUAUAUAAAAAAUUAUAGGAUAUUACAAUAGUAUAUGUUCAUGUUGUACAUCUUAUACACACACAUGUUAUAAUAUAGGUGGAGUGACAGAGUUUAUUUUCUCUCCUUUUGGGUAAUACUAUCAAUAAAUAUUCACUUAUAUUAUAACACGUGUACAAAAUAUGCCACGUGACCGUACUACUGUAAUAUCAUUGAGUCUCAUUGAUUAAUUCUAAUUAAUAAGCUAGACAACAACUUAGCUUUAUAUUAAUGGGUUCAAGUUAAUUACUAUACAGAUUGAAAAAGUGUGCUUUUGUUAAGUAUAUACCAAAAUCUCUCACUUUAAAAAAGAAAAGUGAAUAAUCUGACUAGAAAGUUUGAUAAAAGUUCAAUAGUGAAAGUACUCUUUUGAUGCAUUAAUUUGAGUGGGGAAAUGGUUACAUACUCAGAGAACAACAAUAGCAAAUGAUCCACUUGUUGAUGCAACCAAGCAAAUGAAGAAAAUGACUACAAUCAUACCCCCCAUGGAACCAGCUACAUAAAUUAUGCACCAUUCUUUUAGCCUAGCUAGCCUUUUGGUUUCAACAGAUGUCCCUGUAUAAUCUUUGUGCUUAGCCACUUAAUCGCCAUGGAGGAAGAAUAUUUACACAUAAUAAGAAAAAGGGUAAUUAAUCUGUCACACAUUUUGGUUAAAUUUGGCAUUAGUGUACAGUCCUCGUUAGUAAAUUAUCGACCGUAUGUUUUGGGGAAAAGCAUUUAAGAAGUAGAGUUGUAGUGGGAUUGUUCAAUCAAGUGAUAUGUGUGUGUCUCUAUAUAUAUAUAUAAACAUGUGCUUGCUUGGAAGUGUAACAGAACAGAAGAGCGUACCGGACUUUGAAGCGAAACCCAUCAAAAAGGCCGCGUCUAGCUCAUCUGUUAUAUCUCAUCUCUCUCGCAUGACUUGACUCUCUCUAAUUAAUUUCGCUUCUCCUUCCCAAUACUUUUAUUGCUUGCCCAGAAUUUAAUAGUUCCAGAGAGAGAGAGAGAGAAAGAUGAGCUACUACAUCUGAUCUUCUCUUUCAAUAUCCAAACAAAAGGGAGAGUGGUUUUGAUUGUGAGUGAGGGUUUUAGCUCUACAGAGAGAGAGAGCUCUUUGAUAUCUCAAGAUCACACAAGCAUGGAGCAAGAAAUGGUGGAUUUAGAGAUUCAAAGUCAAACUAAUACAACAUCCGACACUGUUGAAGCCCCAGCUAUCUUCAAGAAAGCCAUUCGACCCGUCACAUUGAAGGUACUCAUCAAGAUCCUCUUUCUAUUGCUUUCUUGAAAAACUCUGAUCACACUUUCACACAUUGGUCUUGAUUUGUUUUUAUUUUAUUUUUACUGAUUAAUCACAUUUACGCAGUUUGAGGACGUGGUUUACAAGAUCAAACCCAAGAAGAGUAUCAAGAACGAAGAGAGAGUGAUCUUAAACGGUGUCUCGGGCCUUGUUCAACCCGGGGAGAUCCUCGCCAUGCUAGGCCCCUCCGGGAGCGGCAAAACGACUCUCCUAACGGCACUUGGAGGCCGGCUAGGCGGUCGACUGGGCGGAGCCAUAACCUACAACAAUAAACUAUUCUCAAACGCAAUGAAAAGAAACAUCGGCUUUGUAACCCAAGACGACUUUCUCUACCCCCAUUUGACGGUCACCGAAACCCUAGUCUACACGGCCCUUCUUCGCUUGCCCAACACCCUAUCCAAAGCCGAGAAGACCAUGCAAGCCGAGGCUGUGAUUAUACAACUGGAGUUAACCAAGUGCAAGAACAGUGUUGUUGGGGAUGAGUUCUUGAGGGGUGUUUCAGGUGGGGAGAGAAGAAGGGUUAGCAUAGGCCAAGAAUUACUCGUAAACCCUAGCUUGCUCUUCUUGGAUGAGCCCACAUCCGGGCUCGAUUCGACCACGGCGCAGCGGAUUGUUUCGGCAUUGUGGGAUUUGGCUAGUGGAGGAAGAACUAUUGUGAUGACAAUCCAUCAACCUUCAAGUAGGCUUUUCUACAUGUUUCAUAAGGUGAUGUUGUUAUCGGAAGGGAAUUGUUUGUAUUUCGGAAAAGUAUCGGAGGUCAUGGACUAUUUUUCGGGCAUUGGCUAUGUCCCAUUGGUAGCUAUGAAUCCUGCGGAUUUUCUGUUGGACCUUGCCAAUGGUAUGUUGUUCUUGUUUUUUAAUAAUUACUAGCUUAAUUCUUGAUUUCAGUUUUCAAAAUCAUUAUAAAUGCAUAUAUUUUAGUUUGAAAUUCUGCAUGCAUGGUUUUUUGGUUUGAUGGGUCGUGGGUUCAGUAAUUGCAUGUAACUUAGGUCCAUCUCUUCGUUCAAUGACUACCUUGACUGUGGUGCAUAGUUAAUUACUGUUCGAACUUCCAAAUUGGGUUGUAAUAAAUUUCUAGGAAAUCCAAUUAGGAUCAGUGAGAAUUUAUUCUUAUGCUUGGGGCUUGGAAAUGUUUGCAACAUUGUCAGAUAUGCCUGGGGAAUUUCUCUUAUUCAAAUUCAUGAGAAAAUGUAUUCAUUAUCAUCAGUUUUUUAUUGCAAGUUUUUAUUAUUCUUAAUGCCAUGUUCUUCUUAUUCAAAUGCCUGGGGAAUUUGUUCUUCUUAUUCAAUUCAUUUUUUUAUUAUUCUUAAUGCCAUGUUUGAUAUAGGAUUUCAUUGCCAGUUGUUUGUCUACAAGUGUAUAUUAGAUGUUUGUGAAAUUGUCUGUCUGAGUAAAUAUUUUGUUACAUUUUAUAUAUGUAGGUCUGGCGCCUGAUGGAUCGCAUGAAAACAAGAGCAAGGUGAAGCAGAGCCUGGCCUUGGCCUACAAGCACAACCGUUUAGAUAAUCUGAAAGCUGAGAUUCAAGAAACCAACUCCAGCCAUUUUCAAGAUGGAUCAGAAAACAAGAGCUUCGGGAAAUGGCCCACAACUUGGUGGCAGCAAUUCUCUGUGUUGCUUAGGAGAGGAUUGAAAGAGAGAAGGCAUGAGUCCUUCUCCGGUCUCAAGAUUGGUCAGGUUGUGGCGGUGGCUCUUCUUUCUGGGCUACUAUGGUGGCAGUCAGAUGUUUCCCACUUGCAGGAUCAGGUAAAAACACACUUCCUUCCUCCCCCUUUUUCUAGUAUUUGCAAUAUGCAUAUUUUCUUCCUUUUUGGGUUACUUGGGGAAUUUCAAUAUGCAUUUUCAUGGGACAUAUUCCACCAAAAUUCUAUUCUAAUUAGUGCUAAUAUCAAUUAUGACCAAUUGCUGAUUGAUACUUCACUUGUCACAUAUAUGAUCUGGUGUGUUAAUGGGGUAUAAAAAAAAAGUGUUUCACUAUGAUUGGUACUGUUCAGAGGGUAUGUUUGUUUCUGGGUUUGGCACAAUAGUUGAAGUUAUAGGCUACAAGUUAAACCCAUAUAAAAUGUACUUGAUCUCUUCUAGCAAGUUCAAAUUAUAGAUAUAUCAGUAACUUUGAAAAUUAUGCCAACAAGCAUGGCAUAAUGUAUCACUUCAUGAAAUGCCUAAGUUUCAGUAUGCAAAAGCAUUUUUUUUCUGGAUAACAAUUUGCAAAGACAUCAUAGCUUCUCUAACAUAACCCAUUUUUAACAACUUGAGAAUCUUUUUUGUUGUUAUGUAUGCAGACUGGGCUUCUCUUCUUUAUGUCUGGAUUCUGGGGUUUUUUCCCUCUGUUCCAAGCAAUCUUCACCUUCCCCCAAGAGCGCAAGAUGCUUGAAAAGGAGAGAUCUUCAGGAACAUACAGACUCUCCUCCUACUUCAUAUCAAGAAUUGUUGCUGAUCUUCCCAUGGAGCUUGUCCUUCCAGCCGUAUUUGUGACCAUAACAUAUUGGAUGGCAGGGCUGAAACCAACAGCAGGACACUUCUUCCACACCUUGCUUGUUCUGCUACUCAGUGUGUUAGUAGCUCAAGGCAUGGGGCUUGCUCUUGGGGCUCUGGUAAUGGACCAAAAAAAGGCCACUGUUCUUGCAUCAGUCCUCAUGCUGUCAUUUCUUCUAGCUGGAGGUUACUAUGUUCAACAUGUCCCUGCUUUCAUUGGUUGGAUCAAAUACAUCUCCAUCAGCAACUACUCAUACAAGCUCUUGCUGGGAUCUCUGUACAGUAAAUCUGACACUUACCCAUGUGAUAGUGGGGUUUGCUUGGUUAGAGAAUUCCCAAAUAUAAAACAUGUUGGGCUUGAUGGCCAAAUAAGUGGUGCAGUUGCUUUGGCCACAAUGCUUGUGGGCUAUAGGCUAAUUGGGUAUUUGGCUCUCAUGAGGAUUGGAGUCACAAAGAAAAAGUAUGCUUAGUUUAUGGGAAAGUCAUAGGAUUCCUAUAUGAUUUGUUUAGAUGCAGAUGCAGUUCUUUUUUCGGAUUAGAUAUUUUGCUUCCCAAGUUAAUUUUCCAGUCUGACUUGUGUUCUAAUUACAGACAAUAUCUGAGAGGCAUAAGUUUUGAUUAGCAAGGUAGUGAACAUGUAGACAUUUGGUGGAGUAAUCUGAGACGGCAUAUAUAAGUAAUAUAUUGUGUCUAGUAUUUUUAUAACGAUCAUCAUCUCUCCAUUCUAAAUUCAUUAGACAUUUUAUAAUUUUAGUGAACUCGCAACACCAUAUCGACAUCUCUUCUUCCCGCGCGCGUGCUUCGACAAAAAUAGAGAAAACAUUAAAUAUUAAUCGAGUAGUCAACCAGAAAAGUGAUGAGCUCUUCAACGUGUGAAUGGAAAAACCACAAGCACCUAUGUCCACUAUGAAAAUGGGGUUAUAAUAAGCAACUCACUAAGUGGACUCUGAACUCUCAACUUUAAAAAAUUAAUAUUAUCCCACUCACAUUGUAAAUAAGUUUUUUAAGAAGUAUAGUUGUUGUGGGAUUGUUUAGUGACAGAAAAUAAGAGAGUGCUUUAGCUGUGAACAUAGAAACCAGAAUAGAAUUUGAAGCAAAACACAUCAAAAAGGGCCUCGUCUGGCUCAUCUGUUAUAUCUCAUCCCUCUCGCAUGACUUGACUGUCUUAAUUAAUUUCUCUUCUCUUUGCCAUUACCUUACAGAAUCUCUUCAAGAAAGCCAUUCAACCCGUCAAGGUGAAGGUAAAAUCCACACAGGAAAAUGUUUGGUUUAUGGAAAGUCAGAGGAUGCCCAUAUGAUUAGUAUAGAUGCAGAUGCAGUUCUUAUUUUGGAUAUAGACAUGUUGCUUCCCAAGUUGAUUUCCCAGUUUGGUUUGUGUUCUAAAUACAGAAAAUAUAUGGGAGGCAUAAAGUUUGUGAGAGUUGUGAUUAACAAGGUAGGUAGGGAGCAGGUAGACAAUUGGUGGAGUAAUCUGAGAUGGCAUAUAUGAUAAUAUAUUGUGUCUAUGGUAUUUUGGAAACAGUUACACACUCUUUCUAAAAUGCUUUUUUUUUGUCCUGUUUCUACGUUAAACAUUCUAAAUUCAUUAGACAUUUUAUAAUUUUAGUGAACUUGUAAUUCUAUAUCGAAAUUUUUUUCUUCGCACGUGAGCGACUAUAACAGACAAAACAGUAGAUAUAUUAAUCAAGUAGACACCAGAAAAGUGACGGCAUCAAGAUAUACAACUGCUCCCUCAAUGUGAAUGAAAAACCACAAGCCCCUAUUAUAUCCACAAUGAAAAGGGGGUCAUAAUAAGCAGCUCCCAAAGCUCAACUUUAAACCAAUGGUGUUUCGUCUACGGAUAUUAUCCCACAUUGUAAAUUAUUAACAAGUAAAAAGUAAAGGUCUUCUUAAGAACUCAUUUACAGGAUGAGAUUCCAAAAUUGAGGGGAAGUUUAGGAUUGUUGUUACUUUUUAAAAAAAAAAACUUGCUUUUGUUGUGUUUUAAAAAUAAUUAGUUGUAAAAUAAAGUAAUUUUAUGUUUAGUAAAUAAUAUUUUUAAAGUGUUGUUAGUACAAAAGACAGUAUCAAAACUAUUUGGAAAUUUUAAUAUAAAACUGUUGUAACUGUGAAUAAUUAGUAAAAUAGAUAUAAUGUUGAAAGUAUUAUACGCUAAUCAUGUGGUGAUGGUGAACAAGAUGGAGGUGGUGGUGAAAAAGGUGGUGGUGGAUGUGGUGGUUGUGGUAGUGGUCGUGGUGUUGGUGGUGGAGGUUGAGGAGAAGGUAGUGGUCGCGAUGGCAGCAUCUUGUUGGUGGUGGUCGCGAAGGAGAAUGUGGCGGUGGUGGAGUUGGAUGUGGAGGUGGAGGUGGUGUCAUUUUUAAAAAUUAAUGAUGGUAUUUUGGGAAUUGAAAAAUCCAUAAAAAGCUUAUCUCUGCUUCUUUUGAAAGCAAUUUUGAAAACCAACCUGCCUACUACUUAAAAACUUCUGUCAAAAGGCCACUGCUUUUAAAAUAAACAGGAUAUUUUAUUUUGCCAAACUUCUUAAAUUGCUUAACUUUAAAGUGAAGCAGGUUUUUGACCAAAAAAAGCAUCCCAAACGGGACUCCAUUAAAAAUUGAAAAUUGAAAAACAGUUGUUGAUGGUGCUCAUAAUUCCUUCAAAGGUAGCCUCAACCUAGCUAGGAAUCUCAUCAAGCACAAUAAACCUCAAAUAAAAAUUAUAGCUCCCCUUCCUAAACAGUCAGCCACCUUAUUUUUCUCCCAGUAGAUGUGGUUAAUCACACAAUUACCCACUUGUCGUAUAAGAGCGUAGCAACUGGACAACAAAGAUGUCAUCGGAUGUAGAACAAAGAGAGAAGAUUUUUGGAGAAAUAGGACUGCAAUCGCAGAGUCCAUUUCAAUAAGCAAAUUUGAGAUGCCCCAUUGGAUAGCAAGUUUUAAACCAAAGAAUAACCCUCAUAUUUCAGCUACUAGGAUGUCACCACUCUCCUGAUUGGCCACAAAACCACCAAUCCAACUCCCUCUAUCAUCACGGAUUACUCCCUCAACACCAAUGACUCCAGAUGCACAUUUGCUGCAUAACCUCUUCAGCAAGCACCAUUCUAAGUUUGUCAAUAUCCCACCAACCUCCCUUAAAAAAGUCAUGACAAUUCAAAUCAGAGACAGAAGCAUUACCAUGGUGCUUAAGCAGAGGCUCAUCAUUCAACCAUUUAUCUUGCCAAAACUUCACUUGAUCUCCAUUGCCAAUUCUCCACCCCAUACCCUUCACUAACAAAUCAGCACCAUGGAGGAUACCUCUCAGUGUAGAAGAAGAGUCAAGCCUUGAAAUAAGUAAGGGAUCCAGGAUGUCCUUACCUUGCAGAUACUUAGCCUCAUAAAUUUUAGCCCACAAUACGUUGUCUUUAUUAUGAAGUCUCCACCCAAUCUUAACCAACAAGCUCUAAUUCAUAUGGGUUGUUCGCUUAAGACCUAAACCACCUUUGCUCUUGGGUCUACAGGCCAAAUUCCAUUGGCGUAAAUGGAUUUUGUUUUUCUUUUCACUGCCUCCCCAUAAGAAGUUACGAUUAAGCUUAUCAAGCUCCUCACAAACGCUUGCAAGGAAUUUAAUCUUUUGCAUAGUAUAAGUUGGGAUAGAAGCAAUAACCGCUUUAAUAAGAGUGGCUUGCCCAGCUAGAGAAAGAAGUUUCCUUUUCCAUCCAGCAAGUCUUCUGUGUACUUUGUCAAGAAGCCCAUUAAAAGUAGCUUUAUUAGGCCUAGAGUGUAACAAAGGCAUGCCCAGAUAUUUUCCUAGAUUACCAGUCAAAGGGGAACCACAAAUAUUACUUAUUUCCUGAGUAGUCUCCUUGCAGGUAUUAGGAGAGCAGAAAAUAGCAGAUUUAUCAAAGUUAACAGCUUGUCCCGAUGCUUGGGAAAAAACCUCCAAACAAACUUUCAUGAUCUUGGCUUGUUGGGGGCUAACUUCAACAAAACGCACAAGGUCGUCAGCGAAAAAGAGAUGGGAAACAACUGGCCUAGAUUGAGAAGAUUUCACAGGCUUCCAUACACCCCUGUUAACAAUAUCAAAUAUAAUGUGGGAUAAUUUCUCAAUACACAGUACAAAUAAAUAGGUUGAGAUAGGAUCCCCUUGCCUUAUACCAUUCUUGACACAAAAGUCUCAGUGAGCUCCCUAUUAAUACAAAGCUGAUAGUGGACAGACUUGACACAACUAAUUACCUAUUGACGAAGCAUGUGAGGUAACCCCACCUUACCAAAUACUUGCUCAAUGAAGUCCCAAUUGAGCCUAUCAUAAGCUUUUGACAAAUUGACUUCCCAAGCAAUGAAACCCUUUUUGUCUUUAGAAAUGUUGAAUUUAUACAUAAGCUCUUGAGCAAUUAGAAUAUUAUCGAUGAUAUGUCUACCUAGGACAAAACUAACUUGGUUGAGACUAAUGAGACUAGAUAAAACAUAUCACAGUCGUGGUCAUAAUUCUUUCGAUAUUCCCUAUACCAUGAAAAAAUGAAAAAUAAAUAAGGCAAAUGCAAGUGCUAAUGCCAGAUGGGAAAAUGGGAAAUUAUUUUAUUUUAAUAUUUUGGUUAAAAAAUGGGAUAUUCUUUCGGUAUCUAUGUUAGCAACAAAAUGAAGUAAAGCAUAUUUACGAAAAAGAAAACGUGGAUAAUUGGCACGUUCAAAAUAUUAAGUCACAUCAUGAGACUUUGAUUAGCAAGUCAUAGGAGUCACAAAGAAAAAGUAUGCUUAGUUUAUGGGAAAGUCAUAGGAGGCCUAUAUGAUUAGUAUAGACGCGGAUGCAGUUCUUUUUUUGGAUUAGGUAUUUUGCUUCCCAAGUUAAUUUUCCAGUUUGGCUUGUGUUCUAAAUACAGACAAUAUCUGAGAGACAUAAAAUUUAUGGGAGUUUUGAUUAGCAAGAUAGUGAACAUGUAGACAUUUGGUGGAGUAAUCUGAGAUGACAUAUAUAAGUAAUAUAUUGUGUCUAGUAUUUUUUAUACUCAUGAUCAUCUCUCCAUUCUAAAUUCAUUAGAUAUUUUAUAAUUUUAGUAAAUUCGUAACACCAUAUCGACAUCUCUUCUUCUCAUGCGUGAUUCGACUAUAAUAGAGAAAACAUUAGAUAUUAAUUGAGUAGUCAACCAGAAAAGUGAUGAGCUCUUCAAUGUGUGAAUGGAAAAACCACAAGCACCUAUGUCCGCUAUGAAAAUGGGGUUAUAAUAAGCAACUCACUAAGUGGACUCUAAACUCUCAACUUUAAAAAAUUAAUAUUAUCCCACUCACAUUGUAAAUAAGUUUUUUAAGAAGUAGAGUUGUUGUGGGAUUGUUUAGUGACAGAAAAUAAGAGAGUGCUUUAGCUGUGAACAUAGAAACCAGAACAGAAUUUGAAGCAAAACACAUCAAAAAGGGCCUCGUCUGGCUCAUCUGUUAUACCUCAUCCCUCUCGCAUGACUUGAAUUUCUUAAUUAAUUCCUCUUCUCUUUCCCAAGACCUUAGAGAAUAUCUUCAAGAAAAACAUUCGACCCGUCAUGGUGAAGGUAAAAAACACACAGGAAAAUGUUUGGUUUAUGGAAAGUCAGAGGAUGCCCAUAUGAUUAGUAUAGAUGCAGAUGCAGUUCUUAUUUUGUAUAUAGACAUGUUGCUUCCCAAGUUGAUUUCCCAGUUUGGUUUGUGUUCUAAAUACAGACAAUAUAUGGGAGGCAUAAAGUUUGUGAGAGUUUUGAUUAACAAGUUAGGUAGGAAGCAGGUAGACAAUUGGUGGAGUAAUCUGAGAUGGCAUAUAUGAUAAUAUAUUGUGUCUAUGGUAUUUGGGAAACAGUUACACACUCUUUCUAAAAUGCUUUUUUUUUUUGUCCUGUUUCUACGUUAAACAUUCUAAAUUCAUUAGACAUUUUAUAAUUUUAGUGAACUUGCAACACCAUAUCGACAUUAUUUUUCUUCGCACGUGCGCGACUAUAACAGACAAAACAGUAGAUAUAUUAAUCAAGUAGACACCAGAAAAGUGACGGCAUCAAGAUAUACAACUGCUCCCUCAAUGUGAAUGAAAAACCGUUUGACAAAUUUUAAUAUAAAACUGUUGUAAUUGUGAAUAAUUAUUAAAAUAAACAUAAUGUUGAAAGUGUUAUGCUCUAAUCAUGUGGUGGUGGUGAAGGUUGAGGAGGAGGUGAUGGUCGCAGUGGUGGGGUCUUGUUGGUGGUGUUCGCGAAGGAGGAUGUGGUGGUGGUGGAGGUGGUGGAGUUGGAUGUGGAGGUGGAGGUGGAGGUGGUGUUAUUUUUAAAAAUUAAUGGUAUUUUGGGAAUUAAAAAAUCCAUUAAAUGCUCAUCUCUGCUUCUUUUAAAAGCAGCUUUGAAAAGCAACCCGCCUACUUUAAAAGCUUUAGUCAAAAGGCCACUGCUUUUAAAAUAAUCAGGAUAUAUAUUUUAUUUUUGCCGAACACCUUAAACUACUUAACUUUAAAGCGAAGCAGGUUUUUGGCCAAAAAAAAAAAGCAUCCCAAACAGGACUCUAUUAAAAAUUCAAAAAAUGAAAAACAAUUGUUGAUGGUGCUCAUAAUUCUUUUUUUUUCUUUUUAUUUUUUUUUGUGAAAUGGGGGGAUUAACCCCUAAACACACAAAAACUAAAUGACAGAGACAUCACAAGUUCUAGGAACUCUUAACAAAUCAUCAUCAAAGGUAGCCUCAACCCAGCUAGGAAUCUCAUCAAGCACAACAGACCUCAUAUAAAAAUUAUAGCUCCCCUUCCUAAAUAGUCAGCCACCCUGUUUUUCUCCCAGUAGAUGUGGUUAAUCACACAAUUACCCACUUAUCGCAUAAGAGUGUAGCAACUAGACAACAAAGAUGUCAUCGGAUGUAGAACAAAGAGAGAAGAUUUUUGGAGAAGUAGGACUGCAAUUGCAUAGUCCAUUUCAAUACGCAAAUUUGAGAUGCCCCUUUAGAUAGCAAGUUUCAAACCAAAGAAUAACCCCCAUAUUUCAGCUACUAGGAUGUCACCACGCCCCAAAUUGGCCACAAAACCACCAAUCCAAUUCCCUCUAUCUACAUGGAUUACUCCCCCAACACCAAUGACUCUACAUGCGCAUAUGCACGAUCCAUCAACAUUAAGCUUGAACUGACCAAUAUCAUAAGGAUCCCAAACAAGAAAAUUUUGAGUUGUAUUAAUUGGCGUAUGAAACACCAGAACUAGCCUUCACUCAUUACUGAGUAGCAGUAAAAAUAAUUUAUCUGAUAUCAAAAGCCAAAUCCUCUUCUUCGCCAAACACUCUCUUAUUGCGCAAUUUCUAGAUAUACUAACAUGUAAAAGCAAAGCGAUGUUCCACGAAAUUCCAAAUUGCCAAUGUGAGACUUAGUUAACAAAUUAACCCUCAACCAAGGCUGAAAAUCCAAUUGAAAAAAUUUCAAACUCAGAUUGUUUGAAAGAAAUAAGCUCCAAACACUUUUAGCCUUCUCACAGUCACGUAAGAUAUGCAAGACAGGUUCAAUAGGCCAACCACACAAACUACAUGAAAGAUCAACAGUUAGUUGUCUUUUGGCCCGUUGCUCAUUAGAAAGAAUUUUACCUUGGAAUACACUCCCGAAAAAAAUUUGCAACUUGGGAGGAAUAUUGAUAUCCCAUAAGAACUUCCAAGGACUAUCAUACCACUCAGAUGGUUUAAAAAAUGGAAAAUGCUAGGGAGACCAACUUUAGAUACCAACUUGUGUACCAACUCUCUAAUAGAGUGUGGGACCCAUUGUAUUGGUGGGCUCCACCUCUAUUAGAGAGUUGGUACACAAGUUGGUAUCUAAAGUUGGUCUCCCUAGCAUGACCCUUAAAAAAUAGACUACAAGCAGACUUCGCUGAGAAAACCUCAUUAGCAGUAGGAUUCCAUAUUUGAGCGUCUGGAGUAGUGCCAAAAAAAUCAACAGGAAUACUAAUAAUUUGCUUCGUAACCUCUUCAGCAAGCACCAUUCUAAGUUUGUCAAUAUCCCACCAACCUCCCUUGAAGAAGUGAGAUAUAUCACAAUUCAAAUUAGAGAUAGAAGCAUUACCAUGGUGCUUAAGCAGAGGCUCAUCAUUCAACCAUUUAUCUUGCUAAAACUUCACUUGAACUCUAUUGCCAAUUCUCCACCCCAUACCCUUCACUAAUAGAUCAACACCAUGGAGGAUACCUCUCCAUGUAGAAGAAUAUUCAGGCCUUGAAAUAAGUGAGGGAUCUGGGAUGUCCUUACCUUGUAGAUACUUAGCCUCAUAAAUUUUAGCCUACAAUCCGUUGUCUUUAUUAUGAAGCCUUCACCCAAUCUUGGCCAACAAGCUCUAAUUCAUAUGAGUUGUUCACUUAAGACCUAAACCACCUUUGCUCUUGGGUCUACAAGCCAAAUUCCAUUGGCAUAAAUGGAUUUUGUUUUUCUUUUCACUGCCUCCCCAAAAGAAGUUACGAUUAAGCUUAUCAAGCUCCUCACAAAUACUUGCAGACAAUUUAGUCAUUUUCAUAGUAUAAAUUGGGAUAGAAGCAGUAACCGCCUUAAUAAGAGUGGCUCGCCCAGUUAGAGAAAGAAGCUUCCCUAUCCAUCCAGCAAGUCUUCUGUGUAAUUUGUCAAGAAGCACAUUAAAAGUAGCUUUAUUAGGCCCAGAGUGUAACAGAGGCAUGCCCAGAUAAUCAGUCAAAGGAGAACCACAAAUAUUACUGAUUUCCUAAGCAGUCUCCUUGCAGGCAGGGGCGGAUCCAUUCAGGCGCAAGGAGGUGCAUCUGCACCUCCCUUCGCCGAAAAAAUCAUUGUAAGCGCUUUGAACUGCCCCUUUGCUCAACUGGUGUACAGAUUACCUUAUUUUCAUUUUCAACAUUUAAGUAAAUGUCUUUGUCCUUUUACUUUAAUUUAUUUUUAUAUUACUCCAUUUACUUAAGUUUACAAUGUAAAUAAGGAAGUACCCCCCAUUUGGAUUCAAAUAAAAAUACUAGAAAAUCAAAUUCCUACCAAAUCAAAAUAUAAAAAAUCAGUUUUAGUGCAAAAUACGAUUUAGGCUAAAAAUGAUGGCUCAUUAAUUCAAUAUAUACUUCAUACUAAAAUCCCAUAAAAUCAAGUUUUCUUAUUUGAUGUGUAAGGAAUAAAAGCCGCCAAAAAUUAUCUUGAGAAAAUGAUUAUUCCAAAAAACCAUUUUCCAUACUUAAUCAAUUUUGCACCUCUGCUAAAAAAAUUUCUGGAUCCGCCACUGCUUGCAGGUAUUCGAAGAACAGAAAAUAACAGAUUUAUCAAAGUUAACAGCUUGUCCAUAUGCUUGGCAAAAAACCUCCAAACAAUCUUUCAUGAUCUUGGCUUGUUGGGGUCUAGCUUCAACAAAAAGCGCAAGGUCGCGAAAAAGAGAUGGGAAACAACUGGCCCAGACUAGAAGAUUUUACAGGCUUCCGUACACCCCUGUGAACAUUAUCAAAUAUAAUGUGGGAUAAUUUCUCAAUACACAGUACAAACAAGUAGGGUGAAAUAGGAUCCCCUUGCCUUAUAGCAUUCUCUGACACAAAAGUUUCAAUGAGCACCCCAUCAAUACAAAUAUGAUAGUGGACAAACUUGACACAGCUCAUUACCAAUUGACGAAGCAUGUGAGGUAACCCCACCUUACCAAAUACCUGCUUAAUGAAGUCCCGAUUAAGCCUAUCAUAAGCUUUUGACAUAUUGACUUUCCAAGCUAUGAAACUUUUUUUGUCUUUCGAAAUUUUGAAUUUAUGCAUAAGCUCUUGAGCAAUUAGAAUAUUAUCGGUGAUAUGUCUACUUAAGACAAAACUAAUUUGGUUGAGAUUGAUGAGACUAGAUAAGACAAAUCCCAGUCGUGCUCAUAAUUCUUUCGAUAUUCCCUAUACCAUGAAAAAAUGAAAAAUAAAUAAGGCAAAUGCAAGUGCUAAUGCCAAAUGGAAAAAUGGGAUAUUAUUUUAUUUUAAUUUUUUGGUGAAAAAAUGGGAUAUUCUUUCGGUAUCUAUGUUAGCAACAAAAUGAAGUGAAGCAUAUUUACGAAAAAGAAAACGUGAGGAUAAUUGCCACGUUGAAAAUAUUAACUCACAUCAUGAGACUUUACAGUUAAGCAAUGAUGCAAUCGUCAUUCCCAUCAACAGUCAAGUUGAAAGUCGAACCACAGAUGCGGCGCCCACCUAAAGAAUAUUACACUUUAAAUUAAAAUAUCCAUUUGUUCCGCACGUGUGAAUGGUUUUUUUUUUUUUCCCUAAUCACGCAUCAUAAAGUUUUUUUUGAAUUUUUUAAACAUGUUGAUAAGAGUUGAAUUAGGAGGUCAAUAUAUAUAUUGGCUUGGCUGUGUUGGUUUUGAAGGAUGCAUAGUGCACAUGCACAGCUAUAAAAAUUGACUAGAUUGGUUAAAAAGUCCAACAUUUACUGGUACCAUGUUGAACGCCGAAAUGGGCUCACCGGUCUGGUCGCUGGGUUGGUAAAAGUCUGGGUUUGAACUUUGAAUGUUAAGUAACAUGUGAAACUCUAGGUUUAAUAAGCGAAACUUUUUACGACAACAUUCUAAAUGCCGUCGGGAAUAAAACAUAAAAUAUAGAUUUGCGUGUGUAUAUGGUUGUCUCAAAUGAAUGUGGCAAUGAACCCACCAUUUAGGUGCACCAAGUAAUGCAGCCAAUAAUUGAUGCACUAGUCAAACCAUAACUAUCGUGAUUAGAUUAAUUAAUCACAAAGGUCAAAAUAAAGAAAAAUAUUGAGGAGACCUAUUGUAUUGGUGGGCUCAAUCAAAUUUGAACGCACUUCAAACGCAAGAUAAUAAUUGUUUUUAAUCAUUUGAAUUUUAAGCCCAUUUAAGUAAUUUUGAUGUUUCACUUAUGUCUUUAUAUCAACUACUUCAAAGUAUACAAAUUAACAGUGUGUGACAGUCGUCGCUUAUUAUUGUGUAUUUGUUUAUGUAAUUACUCUUUUUAUACCAUAUUAUUGUAUUCAAAUUGCAAAUCUUUUAAUUAAGAUUUUGCUUUUGUUUCUAAUUGUUACGUUUGGAUUGUAGAUUGACUAUUCUAAUUAUCCAUUACAUGAUAUUUUAAUAAAAUAUUAUUUUCUUGAAAAAAAGAAGUAAAAGUGACAAAACCAGAAAGUGCACAUAGAAAAAGCUUGGAAAUUCAUCAAAGCUCUUUUUUCUUUCAACAUAUCCGAACAACAGCACAGUACUGAAACAAACAAUUAUUUAUUCCGUGAUUCAGAGUUCAAAGUUGAAGUUCAAGUCUUGAAGCAAAAACUCAAAAGUAGGUACCCCGAAUCUCUGUUUCCCAUGACAAGUAUUCUGCCUUUUUCAAAGGCGAAGCCGUCCAAAUGCCACAGAAAACCAGUCACCUGCCGCCAUCUAGCACCAUGCAAUCCUCACGUGGCACAAACCGAAGUCCCCAAAACUUCAAAUCUAAUUUAACACCCAAUUGACACCCCCACCAAACAAAAAAAAAACCUUGGACCGCUUCUACUUGUCAAAACUUGAUCCUCACAGAAACCACAUGUCAUAAAAUAAACCUCAAAACCCUUCUACGUGCCCAUUUGACCUACCAAAAUUGGUCCUUUUUGGCCACGUUUGCAAAAUGCUAGAAAAACCCAAAUCAAUCAAGAACACUCCGGUUCUGCCUCUUAAACCUUGACCAACCCACCCACCUCAUCAUUUUUUAUAAUCCCAAAUAAUACAAAAUUUAAAAACUCCAAAAACGCAUGUAUUAAAAUCAAAUCAGCAUGCUUGUAGGCUUAGCCCAUAGUAGUUGAUGAGUGAAAGAAACCCUAAUUUCUCACCUACACACACGCACAUCCUAAAAAACACCAAUAAAAUAAUUGAUCACUAAUUAAAAAUUUGAGACAAAAAAUAAGAGGAGUGCACACUCUCAUGAACUCGAGAGACACUUUUUUAUUUCCGUUUUAUUGCUCUCUAUUUAUAUGUAUCUCUUAUCGUCUCAUAGAUAACAUGAGAAGUUAAACAGAAAGACAAUGAAAAGAUUAUUACUUUAUUUUUUCUGUAUUUCUUAUCGUCUCAUAGAUAAUAUGAGAAAAUAAAUGGAGAGAUGAUGAAACGAGAAUAAAGAAGUAUUUUUAUACAAACUCUCAUUGCCAACGUGCCACCUUCGCACCACUUUUUGUUCCUUUUCUUUCCCUUUCAAGCCUCCCAUCUUUUGACAAAAUUCCAGCCUAACUCCCCUCUCACCUGUCCACGUGUUGGCACGUGUCCCAUGCCUUGUGUGCCGACGUGGGUUAAACCACGCGUGAAAAACGCCUCGCAAAGCCUCAAAAAGAUCGAGGCCCCCCUUUUUGCGCCAAGAAAAGCUUCUGGACGCUUUUGCGAACGAUCGACACGCGUCCCGUAAUGGGGUGAGUCACCACUGUAAUAUUCGUGACGGUUCAUGCACCAAAGCCUAGCAACCGUACUCGCUAUCGGAUAAGGUCGGCCGCACGAUAACGUCGAACUUUAAAAACAUAGCGUGGCAGGUUUUAAACGGUGCAUAACUCAAGUGGGCCCUAGCCAGCCCACAGCACGACAAAACGACCGUACUUAUCCCCCUCCUGCUCUGCUCUAUUUAAAUAACCGCCAUAUCUCGGAAACUGAAAAAAAAAAAAAGAAAUAAUAAUAUUUGGAAAAUUAUUUCAAAAUCCCUCUCUUUCUUUCUCUCUCUCUGUUUCAUCUUCUCCUCUGAAAUUUUCUGAAUUCACAUUUCAAGCUCUGAAAUUUUUAUCAGAAAAAAUGGGUGUGCCAGAAACCGACCCACUUUCUCAGCUAAGCUUGCCACCGGGGUUUCGAUUCUAUCCCACAGACGAAGAGCUUCUGGUUCAGUAUCUGUGCCGCAAGGUUGCUGGGUACCAAUUCAGUCUGCAAAUUAUAGCUGAAAUUGAUCUCUACAAGUUCGAUCCAUGGGUUUUACCAAGUAAGAGCCAAAAACCAUUUCUUAUUUGACUAUUUUAUCCCUACCCAUUUCCUGAUAUGGCUCAAUUUGAACUAUAUUGAACAAUUUUUCACUUGGGUUUUGCAGGCAAAGCAAUAUUUGGUGAAAAAGAAUGGUACUUCUUUAGUCCGAGGGACCGGAAAUACCCAAAUGGGUCACGACCCAACAGGGUAGCCGGGUCUGGGUACUGGAAAGCCACCGGCACUGAUAAGAUCAUCACCACUGAAGGUCGAAAAGUUGGAAUAAAAAAAGCUCUGGUUUUCUAUGUCGGCAAAGCCCCCAAAGGCACCAAGACCAAUUGGAUUAUGCAUGAGUAUCGUCUAAUCGAACCUUCACGCAAAAAUGGCAGCUCCAAGGUACUUAAUUUUAUCGAAUUUAUAUUCUCCCCUGUUUUUUUUGUUUUUUAAAAUUGAUUGUGUGAUAAUGAUUUAAUCUUUGGGUUUUUUUGUUGUUGCAGUUGGAUGAAUGGGUUUUGUGUCGUAUUUACAAGAAGAGCUCGAGCUCAGCUGCGCAGAAACCCAUGACGACGAGCGUUUCGAGCAAAGAGCACAGCAACGGCUCGUCGUCUUCCUGCUCGUCUCAGCUUGACGACGUGCUCGAGUGGCUCCCGGAUAUUGACGACCGCUGCUUCACUCUGCCGCGCAUAAACUCGCUCAAAACGCUGCAGCAGCAGCAGGAGGACAGCAAGCUCGGGUUUCAGAUGGGUUCUGGAAAUUUCGACUGGGCGAGUCUUGCCGGGCUCAACGUGGUGCCUGAACUAUGUCCCAAUAACCAGCCCCAACAAAGCCAAGGGCAAAUGAAUGUGAACUAUAGCAACAAUGACAUGUAUGUCCCUUCGAUCCCGCCGCUCUGCCACGUGGAAUCGCCGCCGGAGAGGCUCGCGAAGACGGUGGACGAGGAGGUGCAGAGCGGGUUCAGAACUCAGCGGGUUGAUAACUCGGGGUUCUUCCAGAACUCGAACGUUAUGACUCAGAACUUUUGCAACCCGACCGACCCGUACGGGUACAGUAACCGACUCGGCCGGUCGGGUUUGGGGUUUGGCGGUGCGGAAAAGUGAAAGUAGAAGGGGAGUGCAUUCAUUUCGGUGGAGAAAUCGAGUAGGGGUGCAUUUCUGUAAAUACUUGGGAUUCUUUGGGCUAACAUUUUCGGUUUAGGUGGUGAAAGAAGAGAGUUUGGGAGGAGGUUAGGAUUAAAAAAAGGGGUGAAUGGAAAUUUGCCCCUUCUUUUUUGAUGGUUUAGGCCAGAUUCAGUGUACUCAGCAGCAGGGAAGGAAGAAUCUUUGUACAAUUUAAUGCAGUUCAAUUAGAAUGUAAUUUCCAUCUGUCAGAAAAAAAAAAAAAACUGGUCAAUAUUGGCCGGCUCCAUUUUUAUGGGACAUGUUGAAGUCAAAAUUUAAAUAGUAUCAUUGAAAUUAACUCAUUUAGAGGGCCACAUUUUAAAACCAUAUGAAUAUGUUGUUAUGACUAUUUGAUAAUUGCUAAUUAGAUUUGGUUUCCGCACUGAUUUGUAUUUGUUGUUUGUUUUCCUUUCCUGUGUGUCCAUGUCGUGUUCCAUGUCGUGUGUUUGUUUUUUAUCUAGCGACAAUUAACGUGAUAAUAAUGCUAACCGCCAAUUCAAGUGGUGAGUAAAAAUGCGUACUUCGAAUAAGUUCAAUGUAAAUGGAUAGCAAGGGUGAAUGGAGGAGACUUGUCCCUUCCCUUUUGCUGGCAUGCUUCGAAUAAGUUGAAGGUAAAUGGAUAGCAUCAAAAGGGUGAAUGGAGGAGACUUGUCCCUUCCCUUUUGCUGGUUUUUGCCACAGAUUCAAUGUCUCAAGAAAGAAUCUUUGUACAAUCUGAGAAGUGGAAUUACAAAGUAACUUCCACCUGUCAGGAAAACUGGCAACUUAUCCAUUUUGAGACUAAAUGAGGGAUGGCCUUAUCUUCUCUGUGGAAAACUAAAGACCUUCCAAAAUCUGAAGUGAGAAAAGAAAUGUUGAUUUGACCUUAAUCUCAUGACAUUAAAGGAGGUUGCCAUAAACAUCUUGCUAAGACAAUAAAUGUGGAUUGGACCCUAAUCCCGAUUAGGUUCCCAUUAACAUCUUCGUAAAAGGUGGAUCAAUCAAGGUGUUUGUCAAUAGGUUACACUUUUCUUAAUCCGACUAUUUCUUACUCUAGUUCCUUCUCAUUCCGAUUUCAAAUUAAUAAACGUUACCUUAAACUCUCUUGUAGUGUAGCUGCAUCUCGAUGCUUAUUUAUUACACUUACAUCUGUUUUCCAAUUAGAAUAUGUCACAUCGACGUAUAAAUGUUAACAAUACUAUAAUUUGGCAGAUAUAAUACAUUGCACAAUUAUUCAAGACAAAUUUCAACCAAAAAAAAAAAUACUGAAGCUUCAUAACUCUUGUAGUGUGUCAUAAUCUUCAUUUAUGCUCAAAGCAUACGUGUACGUUACAUACACGUGUAUGGACCAUAAGGAAGCCAAGGUAGCCCUCUAGUUGGCUUGGCACUACUCUAAUGGGCCACGUCAAGGCUAGAGUGGAAACUUGUAGAACAAGCAUUGCUGAUCCAUGAGAAACCCUUUUGGACUCAGAUCUUUUGACCUAGUAUUACAAGUGGCUUGUUCGCUAGUUGUUUGCUUGUAGCUGAUAUGAUUAAGAGAAAUAAAUUAAAUAAUGUAUGAAUCAAUCAAAUUAAAUCUUAAACCUAACUAAACGGUCUAUAUCGAACAAACAAAUAUCUCCGAUCAUUCCUUUCAAUUAAACACUUAUCAAAAAUUAUGCACACACUAUUGGGGUAUAUGAAUAAAGAUGGACCAACUAGUAAAAUGACGCAGAAGCCCUUAAUAAUGUGUCUUGAUAAUGGAUAACUUUUUUUUAGGACCUUUCUUAUUGAGAUGUGUAAUAAUAUACUAAACUCAAGUACACUACACGAAUACUAAGACUCGAGUCUAUCACCUUACUUGGGAGAAUAAUUACUCUAAAUCACUAUACUAAUGAGUCUUUUGCAUAAUAAAUAGUUAUUCAUUAAGAUGAGGGACUGUGAAAAUCAAGGUCAUACUAUAUUGGGUUUGUGAUUAAUGAAAAAUAGUAUGAAAAUGAUGAUGAAUAAAAAAAAAAGUAAAAAAAAAAAACUUUUAUUCGGUCAAGUUAAUACGGCAUGGUUAGGUUCAACCCUUUUGUAGAGUCGUCCUUUUCUACUUUUGUUUUUCAUUUUAUUCGGUUGUCUUUUUUGUACAAGAUUUUUGUUUUUUAAAAAAUAACAUACACACAAGGAAAAUUUCUUUUGAGAGGUUUUUUUUUUUCAUGCGUGAUUUAUUUUUUUGGUACAAUAGAUUGAGAGCGGGGGUUCACACACAAAUAUUUAAGCGCGGGGUUUUCGAAUCUAUUUCCACAAAGGUGGACCCUGGAGGUGAAAGAGCUCAGGAGAAAUUAUAUAGUACAGUAGUACCAUGUGGCAUUGACAGCUGAUACUACGGACUAAUGAUAAAUUGACACUUGUCGUAGCAGUUUUAAAGGGAAGAGAAACUUUUAUUUACUGGCAGACGUUACGCCGGCGUUAUCUCCACGUUAAUUCCAACUUCUGUUUUUCAGACCCACAAGUUCGUUUUUCUUAGCAUUCCCUGCAGGUUUCCUCAUCUGACAAACAAUUUAAUCGUUUUGUGUGGCAGAAACUGAAUGAAUGUCCGUCAAAUUUGUAUGGAACUGAAGACCUAAAGAGGAGGGGCCAUGCUAACCUCAUAUCAUGUUAGACCUUAGAAAUUGACUUUUUGUCGUUUCUAUUUGUAUAGAAAUUGACAACCAUGCUGUUCUCAUAAAGAUUUGUCAUUCGGUUUUUUUGAUCCACUUGCACUAUGUAGAAGAACAUACGAUCUUCAACUUAUUUGCGCUUGAAAAAGUUAAUGAAAAAAGAUUAAAAUUAACGGCAACCUAGGGUUUCUUUGUGAGAAGAUUAAAAACAAAAUAAAAAAAGAGAGAGGGAAUUUGGAUAAGUAAACUAACAGCACUAAAAGGAGCUAACGUCUGUCAGUAAAGAAAAAUUUCUCCCUCCUUUGAAACUGCUAUGUCAAAUGUCAAAUUAUUAUUAGUCUGUAGUACCAGCUGUCAGUGCCACAUGCUACUAACCAACUGGCUCUUCGGCGUGAUUAAUUACACAACAUAUACGCAAAGCCCAUCUACACUAGGGAUGGUUGGGGUUUCGUUAUCGCAACUUUUCACUAAAAUUGUAAAUCGACCAACAUUUUGUGAUAUGAUAAAAAGAUGAAUUAUGAAUUAUGAUAAAAAAAGUAUGCUCAUGCUUAAAAAUAUUACUGAAAUAAGUAGAACUUUCUAUCAUUGACAAUGACAAAACUCAUAUACGGAGAGAAUGAAUUUUAUUAUUAAAAAUAAAUCAAUACAAUCCACAAUCAAGCUAGAGAUAAUCUCGACUAACUCACUAAUAACAACCUUACAAAAUUGUCAGUCACAAUUGCAUUUCUUGGUCAUAUGAUUACAAGUUCAUAUCUUGCCAAAAAAUAAAAAAAAUAAAAGCUAGCCAUUCAACGACACUUAUGACUAAAAUGUAACCACACUUAUAAGAUAUUUAUAAAAAAAGGGUUGUUUCUUGAAGCAAGAAACAAAUGGAUGCACUCAAAUUUGACUUUUUCCUAAAUCCAAACCCACCUAUAGGUUCGUUUGAAUACAACUUUUAAUCAUCUGCAUUAAAUUAAGGGGAAAAAAUAAAAAAAAAAGAUUAUAAGUUUUAGGCCUGGUCACUUAGUCAAGCAAAUGUACGGAUCUUACCUUAGGUCGGUCCUCACUUUGAAGGAUUUGACAUUUUGCCAUGAGUGGCUUGUAGUUGUAGUUACUUUAGGAUCAUCCCCGUCAGAUACCAAUCAGAUGCCAACCAACCAUCCACUUCUUCCUCCACAUAUUAAAGCUGUCGUCCUGCAGUCUUCAGAUUUCAAUUUAACCGUUGAUUCGUUUGCUUGCACGUGUGGUCAACUAGACACUCAUGACUUUAAUAUCUUCCUUUCAUUUUCUUUUUCCUUUAAAGCUUUUGAUUCAAAGAUAUUGGAGUAAGAUUAGUCGUGCAAGUUUUUACAACAUAUAGGAACUUGACUUGAUGCCUUUUUGUUUGUUUGUUUUCCCUGGAAAAAUGACUUGGUUUUCGUUGUGAUCUCUUACUAAAAACAAAUAAAACAAGAAACUUCAAUUCAAGGUGUGAUUUAAACUCAUUCGAUGCCAAUAUGCGAUAGAAUCUUAUAUUCAGGUAUGGAAGGAUGGAUGGUUUGAGGGUAUUGAUUCGAUGCUAAGUCCCAGAAGCAUUCAUAAAAGUCAACAUGUUACCAUCCAAACGGAAAAAAAAAACACUUUUUUUAUUUUAUACAAGAAUUCUAAGUUAGUCAAACAAGAAACUUGAAAUAUUAAAUCUCAUUAUUUUGGAAUUCUUUUAUGCUUUUCCCCAUUCAAACGCCAUACAAUUAUAAUGAUGUGGAGUUAUUGAAACCCAUUAGAUUAAUCCAAUAGUUAAUUUUUUUAAAAUGCGUUGAUGCUAAAUACAAAUUAAUUAAACGCGUUAAAAUUAGGUGACUCGUAUUUGAACGCAAAGCUGAAAUGAUCCAGAGAGGAUGGAACUCAAAACAACCACAACCAAUAGGCUUGGUUAAACCAAGCAAAAGCAAACUUCAAACUACAAACUCUCACAGGGAUAGCCUCCCCCUUUCCGAUUGGGAGAGAGGGUUUUUAUGCACUCUGUAAAGACUUACUUUGAUUUCUUUUCACCUUUUAAUUAGAAAGUAUUAUUUAUCUUCCAUGAAUGUGUUUGCACCUUGUUCUUAUUGCACUAGCUCUCCAUCAAAUAAUGGCGGAAGUAUCACUUAUGCUUGUCUACUCUUUCACUUUCUUUCUCGGCCAAGCUUUUCCCAAAUCCCCAUUCGCAAAGCUGAGGUUGACUGCUCUUUGCCCUCUUUAAACUUUUUCAAAAGACUAAAGCUUGAAAUGAUGUAUGCUUUUCUAAUUUCUAUGGAAGCCCAAAAUAAUAUUGUCUGGUGAUCAAGGCCAGGCCCUGUAGCCCAUUCCCAAACCUACCCAGUGCUGGUCGACUAGACUUGGGCCUUGUUACAAACAUCGUACAAAUAUGUACCCCAAAACAAAUGCAAAAGUCG
rnacentral:lncRNA from 1 species